rnacentral:lncRNA from 1 species
AAACAUAUUAUCGAAAAACAUUUUGACUUCAUAUAUCUCUCUCACACAAUAUAUAAGUAAAGGACUUAUAAGUGUCAACCUACUUUUGAAAGCUUAACAACUACUUUAAAUUUAAAAUGAAAAACAUGAAAAGCCUCUUUUGUUUUUCGAUUCUUUUGCUUGUUAUCUCGAUGAAUUUUGGUAUGAAAUAUAAUUAUUGAGUUUUUUUUUGUACAAAUUAAAGUUUUAUGAGUUAGUGAUGUUUUUACUAACCAUGUUUAUGCCCGGUUGGCUAUUUAUCGCAGGAAAUCAAAUGAUGAUGAUCGAGGCAAAACCAUGCUCAAUUGUUAAAUCUCAUUUCUGUCGUAAAUGGGAGGUUUUGAUUUGCAAAGUAUAUUGCAAGAUUGAAUGCAAAACAGUACAUGCAACUGGAAAAUGUCACGACGACUAUUCGUGUAAUUGUAAUUGUUGUGCUAAUUGAUGGUAUUAUUAUUACUACUAUAAUAAUAACAUUGGGAGUUGGUGUCUAGCAGCAACUUUAUGGGUGUAUCUUCUAUGGUAGUUUUGAAGUUGAGAUGAGUCUUUCUAAGUAUGAGAUUAGAAGUAGACCUCUAUUAGUUAGUGUCUUUCUAAGUAUGAGAUUAGAAGUAGAACUCUAUUAGUUAGUAUCUAUUUUGAUAUUUUUAGGUUCCGUUUAUAUACGGCGCCUAUGUCGUUUCUUUUUCACCGGUCUAUGUUUGUCUUGUGCGAGACCUGGUUAUUUAUAAUAACAUUGGAAGGUUCCAAUCUAUUUUUUUAAACAAUGAAGGUUCCACAUUUUUAAGGUGUAAGAUGGUGAACUAUAAUAAAUAAAAUGGUUGCAUUAUACGUAGGUUUCCCUCAUUUUUUGUAUUUAGUGUUCUAUGUUUAUGUUGUACUUGCGGAGAAACCUUUUUCUCCAAUUUUUUUUUUAAUCUCUGGAUUUUUUUGAGAAUGGGAUUCCGUUAAUUUGGAUUUGAUUCCGAAAUAAAUCGAACUUAAUUUUUUUAAAAUAAUUCGCUGUUUGUUGGUGAAGCUCAUUAACCGAUUACAACAAUCACUUAAUUUUUCACCUUGAGAAAUCUAGGUGGGUCCCAUGCCAAAACAAAUCUCUUUAUAAUAGGUGAGAUUUGUGAGUUGAAGGAGUUGAGAGCUGCAAUUUCCCGCAAUGUCCUUCUCCUUAUUUUUGUUGAGGUUUAAUAUUAAACUAUAUUUGAAUUUUAAAUAUGAAGGAUAAAUUUGUAUUUUAUCAUUUUUUUGAGUUGGGAUAUUCUCCAUUUCCGCUCUUGAUUACUAUAGUUUUGAAUAAUUUUCAAAUAUAUAUUAAAUAGUUGGACCCACAAAAUGUCACAUUAUUGCAUUUAUAUUCACAAAACUUUAGUAAUGGUAAAAAUGGAGUGGAUCUUGACUUAAUUUCUCUCUAUCCAUUUUUUUAUUCAUCCAAACAAUAAAGAAUUUCCACUCAAUUUCUCUCUUCGCUAUUUGUUUCUUUGGAUAUCCAACCACAAUGUUAAUCUUUACAAAAUCAAAUCAUGACACAUUAAUCGCUGAAUCAUUGAAUUGAUUUUGAACCUAUAAAGUCGUGUACCAUUAAUAGUGCCACCGAAUCAUGACAAAGUUAGUCCCUCAUUUUAUAAUAAAAUAAAAAUAAAUAAAAGAAAAUGAGUUUAACAUUUUUUUUCUUUUACAAAAGAAUUUAAUUUAUAUGCACCGUCAGUGUAAAGUUAUUUUACACAUGCAUCCAAUAAUAUACCUAUACAUCAUGUAUGAUAUGUAAAAACACAUGAUGUGUCACAUUCAUUAAAUGAUGUGACAGCGCAUCAUUGAAUGUAUGUGUAAAAAAUCUUUACACUCACAGUGCACAACGAUUAAACUCUUUACAAAAUGUAAAGAUAAAAAACUAGGGGUCCAUUUUAUCUUAAGUUUCAACUUUUCACAUAUUUUCUUCCGUUGGUUUUUCUCCUCCCACACGGUCAAACCCUUUGUUUAUUUCUAGUGAGAUCAAUUCUUAUGGCAUCGGCGAUGAUGACAACUGAUUUAACCGGAAAAAAAUGACGUACAAUGUACCAGAUUCAAAGAUAAAAAUAAGUUUUGUUGUUUUUUUUGUUGACGUUAAGUUUCGUUGUUAUUAUAACCUUAACAUAUUAUAUCAUCCAUACCACAAAAUAGUUUUUUUUUAUCGAGUAGCCUAGUGGUUGUUGAAACCAAAAAUAAGUACAUGCGAAUUAAGGAUGCAAAGUAGAAGAUAGCAAGAAUAGAAGCCACUCAAACACAAUUUAAAGUUGUGAAGUUCACAAUAACUGACUGUAGGAAAAACAAUUACAGCAGGGGUAUUAGAGCCUCAAAACUCAACAGAAAAUAGACGCCACAGUUCUUCUUGCUCAUGCUUUACCUUCUCGACUCUUAUCACGCCCAGCAUCAAUUAUCAGGACAGUAUAUGGACACAUUAUGAUAACACUACCGUCAUUCUCUAUAUCAGAUGAGGAAUUGCAAGUGUUCUACAGUCAUCGCAUCCGCUGUCGCUGCCUCAAUAUGAUAUAUGAUCACUUCAAGUGUCACAAGCCAUAUCGUCACUGAUGAUUUAAAUUCAUAAAGGAAGUGAGUAAAUUUAUCAAAUGAUAUCAUUUGAAAGACAACAAGCCAAUAUUAGAUAUUCAAACCUAGAAACCAUCAUAAGGAACUUGCUGGAAUCCAUUGGUUAUACUCAUCCAUCCUUAUUAUGAAGGAGCUUCAAGUAGGAAGUGCAGAAAACUCAUUAAUGUGUAUCAAACUAUUAAAAAACUAAUAAAUAUGUUAGACUAUUGGUUUUAUAAAUUCAAACUCUACAUGCUUUGCCAGAUGCUAUAACAUCCGUAUCCAGAUGCCCUACCAGAUGUUGUAACAUCCAUUUAGUUUUUUUCUUCUGUUUUAACAGUUAGUAGUUAGUUAGUUGUUGGUUGUUGAGUGCAGUUGCACUUGUGUUAGUUUGUUUGUUUUGUAAGGUUAUAAUUCAGUUAGUUUGAUUUGUCUUAGGUAGUUAUGCACUUGCUUUUAUUUGAAACAAUAAACUUAAGAUUUUUAGACUCUUUUCCUUUAAUCACUUUCAUAAAAUUACUUUCACAUUAGUUCAUAUUCUUUUUUUUCACAAUUAAUGUUCAUUGUUUAGGGUUAAACCCCAACGCAGACACACAAAAAAAAAUGUACAACCAACCAGNNNNNNNNNNNNNNNNNNNNNNNNNNNNNNNNNNNNNNNNNNNNNNNNNNNNNNNNNNNNNNNNNNAUAAUAAUAAUAAUAAUAAUAAUAAUAAUAAUAAUAAUAAUAUUAGUAGUAGAUAAAAAAAAAAAAAACUAAACGAACUUGUUUUUCCCUCGUUGAAAUUUUGUUUCCCCGCUCGAAGUUCACCCAAAACAGGAACCCUAGAAGAAACACAUUAAUUCAAUCCAUUCUCUGUAUCCAUCGGAGAAGAGAAGAAGGCACUCACAACUCCACGGCGCCAACAACGAGGUAUUUUAUUUACAUUCUCCCUCUCAAUUAUCAGACUUCAAUAUACUUUACUUUCUAGGUUUUCCCCAAUUCUGUUUCCCUUUAAAAUCAAUCGCAACUUUACUUUCACUUCAAAUCUCCCUUUAUAAUUCAUGUUACUGAGUAUUAUUCCGUUUUUCUUUCAUUUUCAUGCUUAACCAACAUAGAAUGUCUGAUUCUAAAGAAGAAAGCUUGAUGAUUCUGGAAAAUAUGAAGAAGAAAAAAAGGCAUUGUGAUCAUCAAAAUGAAGACAGGCUCACUGACUUACCCGACAGUGUUUUGCUUCACAUUUUGUCAUUUUUGAAAACCAAACACGUCGUUCAAACUUGCGUUUUGUCUAAGAGAUGGAAGAAUUUGUGGAAACGUAUUUCGACUCUUAUGUUGCAUUCCACAAAUUUUUCCACUGUGAAGCGUUUUGCCACAUUUGUGUCUAAGGUUUUGAAUUUUCGUGAUACCUCAACUGCACUGAACGCUCUUGAUCUUUACCGUCAUGGUGAUAUUGAGCCUCAUCUACUUAAAAAGAUUUUAAACUAUGUUUGCUCCCAUAAUACUCACAUCCAGAAAUUAGGAAUCUCUGUCAAUGGUGAUAGUGGUAUCAUUAUGAGUUGUGUUUCUUCAUGUCAUGCUCUUACAUCUCUUAAGCUUUCACUUUACCCUAGAGGUAGUAAUGGUAGUCAUACACCAAUAUUAUUUCCAAAAUCUUUGAAUUUGCCUUCAUUGACCAGCUUAAAUCUAACAAAUUUCGCCUUUUGCGGUGCUGAAAGCGAUUGUGUUGAGCCCUUUUUCGCCUUUACUAAGUUGAAUAGUUUGGUCAUACGUAGUUGUAAGGUAAAGGAUGCUCAAAUCCUCAGCAUAUCAAGUGAGACACUUGUCAAUUUAGCUAUUGAAUAUCCUUUGGAAAAAAUGAAUUUAGCUAUACAAACUGAUUAUUCAUCCAACUUUGCCGAAAUCAAGUUAUCUACUCCAAAUCUUUAUACCUUCAGUUUUACCGGUGACCUUAUUCAGAAAAUAUGUCGGAGCGGACUUUCUUCUGUUAAACAAGUAAAUAUUGAUGAUUCACGACAAGAUGAUGCUUCGGUGGAGCAUGGUUUGAUUAUAUUCAACUGGCUGCUUGACUUUGCCAAUGUUGAAUCAUUGACAGUGACUUCAACUACUCUUCAGGUCCCUUGUCAUGUUUUCAGGCUUUAUUUUUACUUUCUUUUUAAGCUGCUUAUUUAUAUUUGUAAAAUUCAAUUGACUUGCAUCAAACUGAUCUUAAUUCAUCAUCAUUGCUUAGAUUCUCUCCUUAGUUCCUGAUUUAUUAGACGUUAAGCUCCCUUCUUUAUGUAACUUGAAGUCAUUGGAAGUAGAAUUGACACCACUUGACGAGGGAUAUUUAUCCCAAACAAUCAAAGAUGCCAUGUUAAAGAAAGCUGCUGCCAAGUCUGAUGAAGAAUUUUUUAAGUUAAUAAAGGCAUUUAACGCACGUAUAGAGCUACCUCCCAUACCUGAUGGAAUAGUUGACUUCUUGCGACAAAACUCGCCGUCGGCACAAGUUACCUACACAACAGAAUUCCCACAUCGUUUUCAUCUUAUGGAGGUAGUCAUUUAAAAGUCAUAUGGGAACUGAGUGUGAUAGUUUUUUGAGAAUCUGAGCUUAGAUAAUUUCAAAUGAAACAACUGUUUGAAGAGUUUGUUAUUUGUUGUUACUUGUUACUAAACAGGUUGAAGAAUCUGAUUCUGCUGCAUCUCCCAAUCUUUAUGGUUGAGCUGAAAAGGUAAAACAUUCAUCACAUGCAUUUUGAUAGAUUCUCUUUGAGUUUCUGGUACUAAAAUUUUGGGUUCUGUGGAGAUUUCCAUUUUUGUGAUAUUUCAAAAUGAGAUAGUAUAUUAGAUAAUUGUAGGAGCCGUUGUCUGCAAUUUACUCAAGUAGAAAUUGGUCAAGAAUGAUGACAGAGGCAUCUAUAUUAAUAUUAAAUCAGUUUUGAAUCUUUCGUAUUUAUUUAUUGUUUGUUUAGUUUUUUAUACCUGUCAAACUUUUGUCAUAUUAUUGAUUUUGCAGCGACAAUUGAUAUUGUUACUUUUCUUCCUGUAGGAUGAUAAAUCAUCACAUGAAGAUAAGGUGGAGAAGCACCAACCUAACUCCACCUCUCCACUUCUUGAUAACGGGCAGUGAAGACUUCUCAGUUUGGCCGACUUACUAAAACAUGUUUUUUGAUUUGACAAUCAUGACCUCUUCAUCUAGCUGAAAUUCUCCGGUUUGAAAGCCAAAAAGUAUUAUUCUUAUGAGCUGUGAUAUUUCAAUACAGUUUUCCAAACACGUAUUUGAAAUCGUAGAUAAAUUGAGUCUGUAUUGGAUACUAAAUUGUAAUGUACAAAUCCUAUACUCUGCCACUCGUAUGUAUGCUUGUACCUGUAUGAACAAGUGUCUUUUGUUUAUGGGUGCUUUCAUGAAUAGAUCUCGUUUAUCGAUGACUUUUGGUUUUAUGGAUGGUGUGACUGAUUGUAAUAAAGUCAUUACUCAGGUUUAAACAACUUGGAGUUGGUUUGUGUUAUGAGAUGGUAAAUCAAGGGUGCUUCAUUUUAGGGAUCAAUCUAGCGUGAGAGAGUUUGAUAGGUCUCAUACUAUGGGUGAGUAUUUUUUAUUUUUUUUUUUACAAAUAUUAUGGGUGAUUAUUGUUCACUGUCAGAUUGUGAAAUUCUAAAGAUGUUAUAGACCACCAAUACCAUAUACAUAUCCUUUAUCUCUCUUCUCAUUGUUCUUGUUCUCCAACGUUGCAUCACCACCACCACCACCCUAUCCGACCUCUCCUAUAACCACCACCUCAUAACACAUUGUCGAUCUGCAUAUCAAAUAACAUAAAUAACGGUUUAUGAGUUUUAUUAAAUAACGUUAAUUUUAAUGAGUCUUAAUAACAUACUGUAAUUUUCAAUUUUUCUAAAAAUUUAUAUGGAUGAUCUAUAUGAUAUAAUUUUUCGAUCAAACGAUCAAUUUUAUAUAAUUCAUAUUCGUUAUAAAAUGAUUUCCCAUCUUUGUGUCUAAGAUUUCGACUCUCCGUGAUACCUCAACUGCACGCUCUCGAUCUUGACUGUAGUGGUGUUAUUGAGCCUCCUCUCCUUAAAAAGAUUUUAAACUAUAUUUGCUCUCAUAAUACCAAUCUCCAAGAAUUAGGAAUCUCUGUCACUGGUGAUACUGAUCUCUUCAUGAGUUGUGUUUCUUCAUGCCGGACUCUUACAUCUCUUAAGCUUUCACUUUACCCUAGAGGUCGUUAUAAUUCUACACCAACAUUAUUUCCAAAAUCUUUGAAUAUGCCAGCAUUGACCAACUUGGAUCUAACAAAUUUCACCUUUUGCGGUGGUGAAAAUGGUUGUGCUCAGCCUUUUUUGGCCUUUAGCAGGUUGAAUAGUUGAUGGACAAACCCUCAACAUAUCAAGUGAGACACUUGUCAAUUUAGCUAUGCAUAAUAAUUCACCUGAAUUUGACAAAAUUGAGUUAUCUGCUUCUGCUCCAAGUCUUUGUACUUUUACUUUUAUCGGUAGUCCUUAUCAGCAAAUAUGUGGGGGCGGUCUUUCUUAUGUUAAACAAGUAAACAUUGAUGCAAAACACUUUUUAACAUGGGAGAAGCUUCCUAUGGUUCUGUUGAGCUGGUUGCAAGACCUUGCCAAUGUAAAAUUAUUGACAGUCUCUUCAAUUACUCUUCAGGUAUGCUGUGUUGGCAUGUUCUGAGGCUUUAAUUUUACUUUUAUGUUGAGAUUCUUUAAGUUAUUUCAAAAUUUUGUUUAAAAUCAGUUGACUUGCAUAACUGAUCCUAUUCCACUCUUGUUCUUCAUUGUAUAGAUUCUCUACUUAGUUCCUGAUUUAUUAGAGGUUAAGCUCCAUUCUUUGUGUAACUUGAAGUCAUUGGAAGUAGAAUUGACACCACUAAAUAGACGAUUGGAAUUACCCUUAAUUAAAAAUGUCAUGUUAAAGAAAGCUGCUGCCAAGUCACGUAAAGAAGUUGCCAAGUUACGAAAAGCAUUUAAAGCAGGUUUGAAACCACCUCCUAUACCAGAUGGAAUAGUUGGCUUCUUGCUUCAAAACUCGCCGUCCGCAAAAGUUGACUUCACAACAAAAUACCCGGGUACUUUUAAAAUAAAAGCAUAAUUUAGGCAUUUUCAUUGUAGUUAAUUUUUAGUUUCCUUGGUUUUAGUUGAGUGGUACUUUUGAAAUAUGCCUACUGCUUGGAGUCUAUUUGUAAAACUAUUGGAUUGAGAUUGAUAAACGCUUCUUCAUAAUAUCAGUGAUUUUGUUGAAGAGUUUAUCCAAACAAACAUAUAUUAUUCUUUAUAAUAUGUUUUGGAUUUGCUAUAUAAAUGAUUUGUGAUUUGCUUAGUCAAUGACUUGAUGAGAAGAAUGGACAAUUGAAAAUAUGAAGCAAAGUAAACUUCAAACCACUAAAGAAGCCAAAUUUUUAUUUGCUUUUGUUCUCAUUUUGGGAGUUGUUGUGCUGCAUGUGAUGUUGCUAUGCUUGCAAUUUGUGUUAAUCCAAAUUUUUAAUAACAACAUAAUUUAGGCACUCUCAUUGUGUUACCUUUGAGUUUCCCUUUUGAUAUAUGCCUACUGCCUGGAGUCUAUUUGGAAAACAUUUAUGGCAGUCAAUUAGUUUUUCAAAACAUCAGUGCUAGAUGAAUUUGUGUGCAUUUGUUUCUAUUUAGUUAUUUGGCUUUUUGUGAUAAUGUAAAUCCGGCCAUAACUUGUGAUUGAUUGAUCUUUGGCGAAGUUAAUAAUGGAGUUUCCCCUUCAAAUCAUACUGCUUCAUUGCAUUUUCAUAAAACCUGUUGCAACUUUUUUCAUAUGAUUGAAUUUGCAGUGACAAUUGAUAGUCUUACUUUUUCUGCCUUUAGGAUGAUAAAUUAUCAAAUGAAGAUAAGGUGGAGAACCAUCAACCUAACUCCGACUCUCCUCUUCUAGAUAAUCAGCAGUGAAGAGUUCUCAUAUUGCCUUACAAGUGUACAAUGCCUUCUUUGUGAAGAUUUCUUUUAAGAUAAGUGACUGAAAAAAAAAAUCAGUUUGGCCGACUUACUAAAGCAUGGUUGAUUUGCCAAUCAUUUGGUCUAUCACAUGACCUCUUCAUCUAGCUGAUAGUCUCCAAUUUUGAAGCCAAAUUGUAUUAGCUACCAUCUUGGAGUAUGUAUCGGAUACUAAAUUGUAAUGUACAAAUCUAUACUCUUCUACUUCUAGUUAUAGUUGCUACUGGACCUCGUUUGUCGAUGACUUUUGGUUAUGCAAUAAAUUUGUUUUCUGGUCCUUAUAAAUCAAAAUUUUCAUUAAUAUAACUUGAACUGAAGAGUCCAAAUUGCAUCUUCACAAUUUACAUUUCUUAAUUGUUAUAGGUUGUAUAAUUCCUUAAUUUUGGUGCGUCGUUCACAUUUCUUACAUGCUGAUCUUAGGGAUAUUUUCUGUUCAAUUGAUCAUAAGAAUGAGAAAAUACAAAACCACACCAUGCACGAGACAAUAUGAUAAGAUUAUUACAAAUUUACAAUGGGAAUCAUUGGUUUUAUUCUGGAAAUAACUACGGUUCUUGAAACAUAAUAUCGAACUCCAUUGGGACAAGUUGUUGAAAGAUUUGAUAAAUGAUAUGCCAAAUUGAGUACAUGUAUGCAGCUAUGGUCAUCUAGUACUGCAGACUUUAGCUCAUUAGUUUAUAAUGAAAUUAAGAAAAAAUAGAACAUCCUCAGUUUGAGGGAAUACCAGAGAUUUGGUUCACUGUUGGGGUUGUGGCUGCCUUAGCUGUAGACUGAUUGGUUCAUCAUAUCCAUAGCUGAUCCUAGUACUGUAUGAAGGAUUGGUUGUUGCAUAUUCCCUACGCCUUGCACCAAUAACCUAAUAUCCAAAUCUUAAUUAUUUAUCAAAGUGGCUUUGACGAUCAUUUUACAACUGUACCAAUUGAAAUUGAACCUUGUCCGUUGAGAUUACGAAGUCAAACUCUUACUACUGAGCUGACUCAUGGACAAUAAUAAAAUCUUCAAUUAAGAUUUGGCAAAUUAAAGUAAACUUGAAGCCUUUAGCUUCUAGAUAAAUCAAUAGAGCAGCCUGAGUAUACCAUAAGGUAAUUUUUUAUGUAUGACACUUCAAACCCUCUUCCUAUAUUAUGUUUGCAGGUUGCAGACUUUUUAUUUAUAUGCAUAAUAAUCAUUGUUAAACUAAAGAAUGCAUGCCUUUCUUGAUAUGUUGUUUACCUUCUCUAGUUCUGCAUUUUCCUCACCAAUUUGGUNNNNNNNNNNNNNNNNNNNNNNNNNNNNNNNNNNNNNNNNNNNNNNNNNNNNNNNNNNNNNNNNNNNNNNNNNNNNNNNNNNNNNNNNNNNNNNNNNNNNNNNNNNNNNNNNNNNNNNNNNNNNNNNNNNNNNNNUUGUGUAAUUCAUUGAUAUCAUCACUAUAAAUUUGACCCUGCAAGUACAUAAACGAUAUGUUAUAUAAGACUAAAAAUCAGGACCGCCAAGAGACUUAGACACUAUCUCGAGUUUAAUAUCUCCUAUAUAUAUCACUCAUUUAGUUCAGUCCUAAUGGAUGCAAGAUUAACCACUCACACUUGAAUUCUAACAAAUACCUUUCUUUUGCGAAUGCUUUUCAAACUCAUCUCCAAUUGGUGUUCUAGAUGCCUCAGCUCAUCAAAAUCCAAACUAGAUAGUUCUUGGCCCAUCAAUUGCCUGCAUUUACCAAAAAGAAAGUGUGGAGUCCUUUCUUGUGUCAAAUCUGGUUAUUGCUGAGGUAUGUUAUAGGAAUAACUAUUAGGUGUUUAAUAUUUUACCUUUGGCUAUCAUUCAAGUGCUGCAAUUGUUGCCUCAAGCUUGCUGCUUCUCUUUGCCAAAACUAGCCAAUAGUAAUAAAAAAUACGAGAUGAUAGAUAUAUUAUACUACUAUUUAAGCAAUGUACUUUUUGGAUUUGUAGAGCUUAUUUGAACUUAUGAAAUAUAUGCCUUUAUGCGCAAGUCUUCGGCAAAACUUAAAAAUAGAUCAUGACCUAUCUUACUUAAUUACAAAUGAAUAUAUUUGAGCAAGCUUUAUCAUUUCAUUAAACUUUGUGAAAAAUAAGCUUAUGCACAUUUAAUUCAAUUGUAUACCUAUAUGUCACAUGUGUCCGGCAGAUAAUUGGAUAUAAAAAAUGACAAUAUUAAGGUAGUCGAGCAGUUCAUGAAUGGUAACUUGCUCAUAGACUAAGGGUUUAUCAAGCUUUCUCAUAUUACUAUACCUCACAAACAAUGUUCUCUUCCUGGUACGAUAUUUUGCUUAUGACGAAGAUCGGAGGAACUGGGGAUUCUGUUUCUUCUUGUAAUGAUGUUUGGUUGGGUUUGUCCUCAUUAGAAUUGACUUCCCAAGACUACUUGUGAUCUUGAUGCAAAAGGAGUGUAGGGUUCUAAUUGAUCUUGGUAGAUGGGAGGGGGGUUUUUGGAGUGGGGAUUUAGGUGGUGGAGAAGACUUUUCCUGUUUGUUAAUUAUUAAUUAUCUGAUCUUGUUCAUGUUUUGGGUCACUUGGAGUCAUUUGUACAAAGUUUGUUAGUGGCUAGCUUGGGAUUCAGUUUAUGAUACCGUGUGAAUUUGUCUUUUAUGUUUGUAUCUUUGGUGAACUAUGGUAAAGGGAGGAUCAUUUUCCUUCUAAUAUUACAUGUUUAUAUGCCUAUUUAAGAAUUGAGGAACAGUUAUAUUUUUUCAAACUAGGUCGCUAAAUCGGGAGGGGCCUGAUAUCACUUGAGGCAAGAAUUGACUCUCAAACUAGAUUAGGCGGUCCAGUGNNNNNNNNNNNNNNNNNNNNNNNNNNNNNNNNNNNNNNNNNNNNNNNNNNNNNNNNNNNNNNNNNNNNNNNNNNNNNNNNNNNNNNNNNNNNNNNNNNNNNNNNNNNNNNNNNNNNNNNNNNNNNNNNNNNNNNNNNNNNNNNNNNNNNNNNNNNNNNNNNNNNNNNNNNNNNNNNNNNUUGAGGAACAGUUAUAUUUUUUCAAACUAGGUCGCUAAAUCGAGAGGGGUCUGAUAUCACUUGAUGCAAGAAUUGGCUCUCAAACUAGAUUAGGCGGUCCAGUGGGUCUAAUACUAAUGGUGAAAACCAAAAAAAACUAGAUGCUAAAGUUUUGACCUUGGUGUAGAAAACUAAGUUUUUUUUUUAGGGAAAUGGUUAUCGGGUAAGGUAAUAAGGACGGUCUUUGCCUUUAUUAUGAAUGGUAUGUUAACCUAAAUCACUGAAGCACGAAAAUAUGCCAAAAUGACUUCUGAAUUGUAUCUAAUAUGUAACGAUAUGUCAAUACACCUUGAUAUGCCGUCGAUACGUAUUAAAGGAGUAUCCGGAUUUAUUUAUUUUUAAAAAUAAAAAAUAAAAUCUGAUAUGGCGUCGACACAUAGGGUUGAUUUAGACCUAGACGAAUUCAUAUAUUAGUCAGCCAAUUCAUCAAAAGACAUAAUAAAAAAGCAACGCAAUGCCAGCCAAUUCUAAAAUUCUAUGUUUUUUUCUAAAACUGUUUUACAAGAUGAUCAUCGUCCUCUUUUGGCUUAUGUCACUAUAGUAAACAAGGGUACAAAUUAAAGGGUUCAGAAACAUGUGGAAAUAAGUCAUGGGUUUUGAACUUUUGUCAAAUAGAUUUUACAAGUUCUUACUCUAGAUUAAAAGUCAUUUGUUGAGAAUUUAUGGCACUGGAAUUUGUGUGUUUCCUAAUGUAAAUGAGGAAUAUUUGUCUAAGUUGCAAUCUAUUGUAGAACCGGCUAUUAAAAAAAUGUCUAAUUUUAAUAUUAAAUGUAUUAUAUCCUAUAUUUUUUAAUGACUGAAGUAUGACCGUAACGGCGAUAUCCAUAUUGUGUUUGUGCUUUAUAGGUUGAAACCAAAUAUCAAAUGCAACAUAGGCCUAAACAUUAUAUAUCCUACAAUCUAUAAAUACAAUUAAGAGUUCCAAAUCAAAUAUAAGAUGAGAUGAACAUGAGUUUAUAAGUAGAGACAAUCAUCACAUUAUAAGUCAGUUUUAUAGGAUUGAUUUAGACCUAGACGAAUUCAUAUACUCUUUUAAAGAUAAACUUCACCUUUUUCUAUGGUUAUUUACCUUGACAUCCAAAGUAGGAUCCACUGCUUGAUGACGGUCCUCCAUUAAUUUGUUAUAACGCUCGAUAACAGAUUCCAUGCUGCAAAAAAUGUUGAUGUUUGUAUUAGCAGAUGUAAAUAAUAUUUUUAUGAAUCUAAAUCAACACAGAGAACUCAACAAGGCGCAUGUUCAUGCAUGAUCUUCGAACUAGCAAAACAGAAGUCACAAGGAGUAGGAAUGUCUGAGCCAUGAUUUUGAAAUGUGUAGUUGUUUAGAGUAUUUGGGAGUAGGGAUAUGUCAAUGGAUAUCCAUGAGCGCGGAUAGUAUGAUAUCCGUGUCCCACUCUAUUAGAUAAAUAUGAUAUCCGUAUCCGCUUCAUAUCUGUGCGGGUAUCCACUAAGCGGGUAAUCUACGGGUUUUGAGGUAUCCGCGGAUAUUAACAGAUAUCCAUGGAUGAUAAUUUUAAAAAAUAUAUAUUUUUUUUCUAAUUAUACCUAAAAUUUCUUAAAAGAAGUAAAAAAAAUAUUAACACAUAAUAAUAUUCAUACAUUUCACUUUCAAUUUACAACAAUGUCGCCACAUUCAUUUUUCUUCUUUUUACCAAAACUUAAUAUAAUAUCCAUAAAUUUCUCUUUAAAAAAAUAAUAUACAUACAUUUCUAACUAAAAUAAAAUUCAUCAUAAAGUUAUGCGAAAUAUAAAAGUCUCUUUAAAUUUAAUAACUAAGGAUAUUUAAGUAUUUGUCUUAUUUAUUAGCGGGUAUGAAUAUCCGCGGGCAUGAAUAUCAUUAAAUCUGUAUCCAUAUCCAUUAAGUAUCAUAUAAUUAAAAUAUUCAUUUAUUUCAUCUGUGGAUAUCCAUUAAGUUAUCUGCCCCGUAUCCGAGGCGGAUUUUAGCCGCAGAUAUUUGCGGGUAUGAAUAUUUUUGCCAUCCCUAUUUGGGAGUUGAGAAAUGAAAUAACAUUCUUUUAAAACCUUUCUACAGAUCAUAGAAUGUUGGACAUGAUAUAUAUAUCAAAGUCACUUCUUGGACAUGGUUCAUAGCUAAUUAAUCCAUUAUAGCCAUUGAAAAUAAUAAUAAUAAUAAUUAUGAAGUAGUUCAUGUUUUGUUUAGAAUGCUAUAAACCCACUUGUUAAGUCUAUAUUUUGUCCAAUAUUAGUCCUUUCCACUAAUUUACAUUUAUUUAAAAAUUUUAAAACUUUAAUUGAUUCCAAUAUAUGUACACCAAAAGGUUUCAAGUUUCAACCAUGUUCCAUCCUAUGAUCAGGUUUUAUUUAUUUAUAUUUAUUAAAAUAUUUUUUAAUUGAUUUGUAGAUUAUCAAGUGAGCUAGGUUUUCAUUGCAAGUUUCAAAUACCAACACAAUAUAUGUAGUCCUUUAUUUCAAACUUAUGCUACCUUGUACCUUUACCUUGUACACCUAGUUUAAUAGAAAACCACAAGUAGAAAAUAAUUAAGCUCUAACAAUAUGAAGCAUAUUAUUAUUAUUAUAUACACAAAUUUGUUAGUAAAUUUUUCAUCAGAAAAAGACUGUUUAUUAGUAAGUACGUACCUGGAGCUUGCAUAGUCAUAAAGUUUGUGAGUUGAAGAGAACAAAAUUAAUCCAACUUGUGCAUCACAAAGAAUGGAUAGUUCUUUAGCUUUCUUCAUCAAUCCUUUUCUUCUCUUUGAAAAAGUUACUUGCCGGCUAGUCAAAUUCUCAAUCCUUCGUAUCACAAUCUUUCCUCUCCCCAUCUCAAUUUAUAAUUACUCAACAAAUCAGCAAACUCUAUUUUUACUAGCUAGGGUUCUUGCAAUAUUUUAAUAUCUUAUUUUGACAUGUCCCGUGAGCUGAAUCUGAAAUACUGCCUCUAAUCUUUAAUAUAAGAAAAAAAAAUUAGUUUUUAAAUUCAUGAAAAGAUUUAUGUAUGUAAUCUAUAAUAUAGUUCAGAUACAUCAAUAUUUCAAUAAAUCUGAAAAUAACUUUUUUUCUUAUAUUAAGGAUUAGAGUGAACAUAUAUACAAAAUUUGUUAUAAUAGCUAAAAUUGAUAAGAAAUUUUUGAAAAAAAUGAUAAGAAAUAUUCUCAUCGAUUGGUUGAAUAUAAUGAAUUUAAUUAUUGCAUAAUCAUAGAAAUGAAAUAAAAAAAAAAGAUAAUAAAAAUUAAAUAUAAGUAAUGCAUAAAUUAAGAAUGAAGAAUAAUAGUAGUAGUAACUUACUGGAAAUUUAUUAGGAGAGCGUGUUAAAGCUAGAACGGGAAGAAGAAGAUGGUUUGUUAGGAUCUGAAAGUGGUUUUGUAGGACUCAAGGUGGUUUCUUUGAGCUGGUCGAGGAGUUUAAGGUUUUGGUGUGUAGGCCAAUGAGGGUUGAGCAAGUACAUAAAAAUAUGGGUACUUGCCAAUUAUGUUUCAGAAUUGUCAAAUGAGAAUCACAAAACAGCUCAAGUCACAACAAUAGUACAUAAGCUGCUGCCUGUAAGAAAAUGACAGCGUGUAACAAAUUUAUGAUCACGUGUCAGCCAAUGUGUGGUUUUCUACGACUCUUUAAUCUUACUUCAGGAAUCCAAUCAAAUAAAUUAAGGAAAAAAAAUGCUAUCUUUCAUGAUAGUACUAGUUAAAAAUUUAAACUAGAAUUAUUAUUUUUUUUAAAAAUUUUAUAGUCAAUUUUUUAAAGGACUUAAAGCUGUGAAAUGGACUGAUCCGGCCUGGUGUAUCAGACUAUAUAAAUGAGCUAGUUCANNNNNNNNNNNNNNNNNNNNNNNNNNNNNNGCCCAACCCGUAUGGGUCUCGUGGGCUAUUGGGUCAGCCCAAUCCAUUUCAUUUUAUUUUUAUUUAAUUAAUCUUACUUUAUGUCACUUUGAUGUAUUAGUGUCUUAUAAUUUUAUUGAGAUAUAAUUGGGUGCAAAUGUAAUUAAAUUUUACAUCAACAUUAAAUAUCAGUUAAAUUCUAGUUUGAUUAUAUUGUAAGAAAAUUGAAUCAAAUUAAUAAAUUAUAAACUUAUAAAUUUGAACGUGUUCGGGUAAAAUGUGGGUUGGAUCGCGUUAUUAAGUUGAACGGGUGAUCCGUAUCCAUGAGCACUCCUAUUUCAACACAAUCUAACAUUUUUUAUUUGAUCAAUUUUGUUACACUUCUUGGCCUUCAGAAUUUCUCACUUACUUUUGGUCACUCAAGGUGCAUCUUGGAAACUUGGACAAACAAUCACCGGACAUUUGGUGUAAAAUGUAAAAUAAUCCCAAAGGCUAAAUGCCAACAUUCAUUUAUGUCUAAUUUAACCAACUGUCAAUAAUAUCCCAUCCUACUGUAAAAAAAAAUAAAAUAAUUCCUAUCCUUAAAUAUUUGCAUAAAGACAAACAUAGCCUAUCAGUUUGUCAAAAAAAAAAAGAAAAAAGAACUAAGCCUAUCAUAUGAUCCUAAAAUCAAAUAUAUAAUUAACUAAAGGAAUGAAAUCAGUGUAUGCAUAAAUUUCAACGAUUAUGCAUGUAUUAUUUAGCUUAAGUGACAUCCUUUUGCCAUGGACCAAAAUCAUUGUAGUCAUCGCUCAUUCUUCUAUGUUGCAACUUGCAAGAAUGGAAGACAAAGAAAAUAUUAUUAUUAAUAAAAAGUCCUAGUUUCUAGCUGCUGCAACCAUAUAGUCUUACAUAUGAUAUAUGAUAAUGUUCCAGUUCCACACAAAUUUUUUGAACAAGUUACUUCCUCUUGCAGUCACAGAUGACUCAUUUGCAUGUUAGUUUUCGCACUCGAACACUUGUUUUUUGUUAUGCAAUAGGAACCAUUUCCACACUCCAAAUAAUCCAUCUUGCAAACUCACUCUCAUUUGAUUACUCCUACUUUAAGAAUGGUGAUAUCAAUUGGGAAGGUGAUGCUUCUCUUUAUAAAGGAGCUAUUCAACUCACUUCCAACACCAUUGAUCAAAACAACAACUAUAGCGUUGGUCGAGUCACGAGUUUUAAACAGCUGCAUCUCUGGGAUAUGAACUCUGGAAAACUCACCGACUUCACCACCAAAUUUUCCUUUGUUGUUUUUUCAAAAUCAAAGGAUUAUGGAGAUGGAAUGGCAUUCUUCUUGGCUGAUCCAAAUCUCCCACUUUUGAAGAAUAUCAAAGAAGGUGGCGGUCUUGGCCUUGUGGAUGGAGAACAAGUACUAAAAUCAACUCAAUACUCAUUUGUGGCAGUAGAGUUUGACACCUUCAAUAAUCCAUGGGACCCUUCAGGUGUAGGCACUCAUGUUGGCUUGAAUUUCAACUCUAUGAGGUCUAACAUAACUAAGCCAUGGUUGACCAAUAUUAUGAAAUGGAGAGUUUACAAUUGCAGCAUUAAAUACAAUUCCAGCACUCACAAUUUGAGGGUGUCAUUCACCAUGUAUGAUCAUGAUGAUAAACCAGUUAAAGAGCACAUAUCACAUAAAGUUGAUUUGAGAGAUUUCUUACCUGAGAGGGUUAUUGUCGGAUUCUCUGCUGCAACAGGAGUAUUGUAUGAGGUGCAUACUCUUCGAUCAUGGUCAUUUAAUUCAAGUAUACUAAUUGAUGAGAACAUGUUUCGGAUAGCAGGACCAAUAUCCAGUCCUGUAAUUUCUGAACAAGGAAACAAGAUAGGAUUGAAGGUAGCGCUUGGAAUUGGUACAGGUUUGGCUGUAAGUUUAUCAGGGCUGGUUUGUACUCUAUUAUGGAAAAGGAGUAGAGGGAGGAAAACAGAAUUUGGUUUUGAUCUCAACAUGGAUGAUGAAUUCCAAAAGGGAUCUGGACCUAAGAGGUUUUUCUACAAUGAACUAGUGAGUGCAACAAACAAAUUUUCAGAGUCAGAUAAGGUGGGACAAGGUGGUUUUGGUGGUGUAUACAAAGGUUAUUUGAAAGACUUGAACUCCUAUGUUGCUAUCAAGAGAAUGUCAAAAGAGUCGAGACAGGGAGUACUAGAAUAUGUAACUGAAGUGAAAGUCAUAAGUCAAUUGAGACACAGAAAUCUAGUACAACUUCUCGGUUGGUGCCACAGGAAGAAUGAUUUUCUUCUAAUAUACGAGUUUAUGUCAAAUGGAAGCUUAGAUUCCCAUCUAUACGGUAAAAAAAGCUUCUUGACGUGGACAGCGAGGUAUAACAUUGCAUUGGGCUUGGCUUCGGCAUUGCUUUACCUACAGGAAGAAUGGGAGCAGUGUGUGCUUCACAGGGACAUUAAAUCAAGCAACAUUAUGUUGGAUUCAUGCUUUAAUGCUAAGCUUGGCGAUUUUGGUUUAGCUAGGCUGGUAGAUCAUGAGAAAGGGUCACAAACAACAAUUCUAGCUGGGACAAGGGGCUAUAUUGCACCUGAAUAUUUCACAUCAGGAAAGGCUACUAAAGAAUCUGAUAUAUACAGCUUUGGUGUAGUGUUAUUGGAAAUAGCCACUGGAAGGAAAGCUAUUGAAAGAGAAGAAAUGGAGGGUCAAAUAAGUGUAGUUGAGUGGGUUUGGGAUCUUUAUGGCUUUGGAAAGUUCCUUCAAGCAGCUGACCCUAAGUUAUGUGGAGCAUUUGAUGAGCAGCAAUUGGAGCAUUUGGUGAUUGUUGGCCUUUGGUGUGUUCAUCCAGAUUAUUCAUUCAGGCCUUCUAUAAGACAAGUGAUUCAGGUGCUCAAAUUUGAGUUUCCUUUACCAAUUCUCCCAGAAAAAAUGCCUGUACCAACCUAUUUUCCUCCAACAAUAAAAGCACUUAUUUCUUCAGUUUCACCCGCCCACUGGUCGAAAAGUUAGAAAUUUGAAGUGUAACAAAUGAACAGUCAUCGGAGAACUUAAUUGUAUAGAAGCAAAAUAUAUAACAUCAUUAUUUGCAACAUAUAUGUGCAAUCGUUUUUUUUUUCUCCCAGAGCAGAUAUGCAUACGGAUUGCAAAUUUAUCUAUUACCAAAAACCAUAUUAAUACCAUUCUUUUUUUCAUUAUUUUUAAAAAUGAUGAAACAAUUGUAUACCAAUAUCAGUUUGCUCUAAAUAAUAUAUAGCAACGACAUUAAAAUUGAAAACGUGUCUCGUGCUCAACAUGUUAUUACAUUCAAAUAUACCAUUUUCUCAAAUUAUUACUAAUAUCGACAUAUCAAUAUCAAUGUCGUGUCUUUUAUGAUGACUAUGUCUAUGCUUCAUAGUUAAAUAAUACACGAGCUCAGUUGUGUGUAAGAAAAAACCUUCAAAAGUCAUUAGUUGAAAAUUUAAAGGAUGCAUGUGUGGCUUUUGAGAGAGAUGGAGUGACAAGUGUCCUAAAUUAUGAAGUUUGAUAACUUGUGGCCUAAAGAAAACAUUGCAAAAUGAUAUUACGUGUCUGUGUUUACAGCUUUGUUUAAUACUCCUAUCAUUGACCUUAGCCAAAAGACAACUUUCUAUUUUUAAAAUGUUACAUCCUUCCCUGAACCAAUUUACUAUUAUAUUUAGUUGUAUAUAUCUUUUAUUGUCUGAAUGUUUCUGUUAUCCAACCCAACAUAGUUUGUUCCUACUUAGUACAAUAUUACAACUUCAAACGUUGUUGUCCGUUAACUCUUAGGAGCAUAAUUGUGAUCCCUCCUGCAUAGUGUCCAUCGACACAAGUUGUGGGUGUAGGAAAUCUAGACAUGUACAAUGUGAUAAUUAAAAUACAUAAUUUACAUAGAAGAGGAAGUUAGAUAAAUGACAAAUAAAGAACAGUAAAUAAAUAAGUACUACAUGAAAGUGUUAGGCUUCAAACAUGAAACUAAACAACUCUGAUAUAGCUAAGCUAAACAAAUGGUUCAUAUAUUCUGUUAUGCAAGGGAAACAAUUUUGCUUUUUCUGAUAGUCCCUCUUGCACAUGCUCACCCUGUGUCUUUUCAUUACCCUAGGUUUAGCAAUAAUAGUAAAGAUCAGCCAAGGCUUGAAGGCGAUGCCACCAUUGUAGAUUCUGACUAUGUUAUUCGACUCACUCGGUACCCUGCUGACCCAGAUAAGACUUCUGGUGUUGGCCGAGUCAGAAGUCCCGAACUUAUCAAACUUUAUGACAAUAAAACAAAUCAACUGUAUGACUUUAGUACCAAGUUUUCUUUUAUUAUAUUUUCAAAUCACAGUAAGCAUGGAGAUGGUUUGGCAUUCUUCAUUGCAAGCCCAAAACUUCCAACAACAAAUCAUAUAGGAGGUGGAGGGGGUUUUGGUCUUAUGAAUGCAACGGAAGUUGCUAUAAACUCUACUGAGUAUUCAUUUGUAGCAGUGGAGUUUGAUACUCAUCACAAUCAUUGGGACCCAACUGUCUACCAUGUGGGAGUGAAUAUUAAUUCUGUGGUGUCCGAUAAACAUAUUGAAUGGUCCGUGGAUGUUUCAGAAAGGAAAUUUUAUCAUUGUAGCAUAGAAUAUAGUUCCAGAAACAAAAAUCUGGAUGUUUCUUUCACCGGAAAGAGAUUGAAUGAAGGGCAAGAGGAGCAGAGAUUUUCACACACAAUUGAUCUAAGAGAGCAUUUACCAGAGCAUGUUAUUGUUGGCAUAUCAGCUUCAACAGGAUCUGCAGAUGAGGAACAUCUGCUGCGGUCGUGGUCUUUCAGUACUCGGCAUGAAGAUACUCCUAAGAAGAAACGGAACGUAAUCAUAACUAGAUUAUGUGAAGUAUUAGGAAGUGGCGUCCUAAUGAUAUCUUUGAGUUGCAUAAUAAUAUUCUUCAUUGCAUUGUGGAAAAAGAAUAAAGCAAAAGAAGAACCUGCUACGUCAGAAACCAUCUCUGAUCAGAACAUGGAUGCAGAAUUCCAAUUGGGUGCUGGGCCUAAGAAGUUUAGUUAUCAGGAAUUAUUGGAUGCAACAAACAACUUUGAAGAGACACUGAAGCUUGGUCAAGGUGGUUUUGGUAGUGUUUACAAGGGUUAUUUUAAAGACACAAACUCAGUCGCAGCCAUAAAGAGGAGGAUAUCACCAAAUGCUCGGCAGGGUAAAAAGCAAUACUCAGCAGAAGUGAAGAUCAUUAGCCAAUUGAGACAUAGAAAUUUGGUGAAACUCAAUGGUUGGUGCCACAAGAAGAAUGAACUUAUCCUAAUAUACGAAUACAUGCCUAAUGGCAGCUUAGAUUUUCAUCUUUUUCGUGAAGGUAGCAUCUUGUCGUGGCACUUGAGGUACAAUAUAGUUCUUGGGUUGGCCUCAGCAUUGCUUUAUUUGCAGGAAGAAUGGGAAAAAUGUGUGAUUCACAGGGACAUAAAAUCAAGCAACAUAAUGUUGGACUCCAACUUCAAUACUAAGCUUGGUGAUUUUGGGCUAGCUAGGUUGAUGGAUCAUGAGAAAGGGUCAGAAACUACAGUUGUGGCUGGAACCAGAGGUUACCUAGCUCCGGAAUACAUGGACACAGGCAAGGCUAGAAAGGAAUCUGACAUAUUCAGUUUCGGGGUUGUUUUGUUGGAGAUAGCCUGUGGAAAAAAGGCCAUACACUACCAAGAAUUGGAGGGUGAAGUAUCAUUAGUUGAGUGGGUUUGGGAGCUAUAUGGAUUGAAAAAUAUCAUUGCAGCAGCAGAUCGUAAGCUAUAUGGGCAAUUUGAUGUGAAGGAAUUGGAAUGUUUGCUAGUAGUUGGACUUUGGUGUGCUAAUCCAGAUAGCACAUCAAGACCAUCUAUAAAGACAGUGAUUAAGGCACUAAACUUUGAAGCUCCAUUACCAAUUCUCCCACAAAAUAUGCUAUCUCUAGCAUCUCGGUCUGCCGCAACAAAUGAACAAUUAUUAUCAGUUCCUUCUUUCAUUAGGUUCACAGGUUAGUUUGAACCUGAAAGUAAACAGAAUGUAGUCAUUGUGAUAUUGAUUAUUCAUAUCCAGUCUGGGCAUUUAGGUGCUGAAAAUUGUAGCAUUUUUCUUUUACCCAUAUAACAACUACUAUUCUGUAAGGUUCUUUUUCCUAUGACUAACUGUUCCGUGAGUUAAAUAGUCUAGCUCAUACUCUCAAUACGAGUAUCAUUACAACGUUCCUUAUGAAUAUUCAAUUAAUAAGAAAUAUUUUGAAAUUCUUCAUUGUGAUAAUCGAAAUUCUAUGUUUUUGUAUCACAAUAUUCUUAGUCUCAACUAUAUUACAGUGAAAAUAAAACUCAAUUUAACUAACUGGAAAUUGGAAUAUAUGGCUAAUGCAAACUGGAAUUCAUUCACAUAAGAUUCUGGAAAUUACAAAACACAUACAUGAUUCCAGUCUAUUCUUUCAUACACACACACGCGCACAAUACACAAAACACACACAUUAGGAUAAAGCAAAGCACGCCAUUCUAACACAGAACUCGAUUUAGUAUCUAACCAGAGAUAUCAAUGGUCUUGACUUCAGGCUUCUUAACUUCUUCUUUAGGAACAGUUACAGUCAGAACACCGUUCUCCAUAUUCGCCUUAACUUGAUCCAUUUUAGCAUUCUCUGGCAAUCUGAAUCUCCUCAAGAACUUUCCACUGCUACGCUCCACGCGAUGCCAUUGAUCGUUCUUAUCUUCUUUUUCAACGCUUCUUUCUCCACUUAUCUGAAGAACUUUAUCGUCUUCAAUCUCAACCUUCACUUCCUCCUUCUUCAGUCCUGGAAGAUCUGCCUUGAACACGUGCGCUUCUGGAGUCUCCUUCCAGUCCACACGUGUGCUCACGAAUGCAGAAUUUUCACGAGACAAUUCAGGAAAGGAAGCGGAUAGGGAAUUAGAUAACGGAAAAUCCUUGAAUGGAUCGAAAACAUCGAGGGAGAAUGGAUCGAAUACGUUGCUCCUUCUACCACCGAAGAAACUUGGAAUCAGCGACAUUUGUGAUUUCUUGGAUGAAGGUUUGAAAGCUUUGAUGAUUGUUGUUGAAUAUUGUGAUCUGCAAUUCUUUGAUGGUUUGGAAGAUGAUACUGAUGAGGAAUUUAUACCAAGUAUAGGAGGAAAAUAGUACUUGCUGGAAAAUUCGAAAAGCGUUUGGCAGUUUCGGCGCCAAAUGUUGUAGAAAGUUCUAGGUUUUCUAUUUGGGGGUAAAUAGAACGUUCUAGAUAUCUUCAUAUGAAUGAAAUCAAUCACUCUGAGUUUGGUUUGGGCUUUGUAGCCCACGUCAUUGGGCUAAAAUGAAAGUUGGGCUGAGAGAGCUUCUUUUCGCCUCUAUGAGUUUUCUUGCCCGAUGCCUAAAAUUAUCAAAAUAUCUCUUUUAUUAUUUAAGUAGAUGACGUGUAAAAUCCUGAAAAUAUUAUGUUAAGGGUAAUUGCUUUUUCAAAUUUCUCAUUUUUAUAACAUCUGCUACCAAAAAUAACAUGUAAAAUCUUAGUUAAAAAAAAAAAGUAGUGUGUAAAAUUUUAAAAAUCUCAUGUUACAGAGUGUUUUUUCUUCACGUUUCUCAUUUUUACAAUGAAUUAGCGAAUGUUUAAAAUCUUGAAAAUUUUAUGUUAGAAGCUUUUAUUUAUUUAUUUAUUUAUCAAAUUUCUCAUUUUUAUAACAUCCGCUACUUAAAUAACUAAAUGACGAAAUAAUAAAAUAGAAAACACAGGUGCCACAAAACUCUUGUGCUGAUGUUCCUCUUCCACUUAUUGUUCAUACAAGAACAAAAAUAUAUACACUAUUUUUGGGUGAAAUUUUACACAGCUGAAAAAUAUAUUUUAAUCAAUAUGGUUUUUUUAAUCAAUGGUUCUAAGAAAGAGUUGCAACUUGCUUCCAAAAAACAUGAUUUUUAGAUCAUACUCAACAAAACAUGAUUUUUUGAUUUCCGUAACUAAGAUUUUAAGGCAUACUCAACAAAUAAUUCCAAAUUGCUUUUGGAAAGUCCCUCGAUAUUUCACUUGGAACCCAUGGUGUUCACUUCAAAUUGUUCCGAUUGCCCCACAGUGGGCACCAAUUGUUGUGAAUUCGUCUAAAAUCACACCAAUGAAAACUUGAUGUGUGGAGCAAUAGAACGACGACCAAUAUCAAGAGGAAUAAGCAAUAAUAAUAACCAAUAAACAAGAUAAAAGAGAAGAAAGAACAUGAUAUUUGUUUACCUAGUUCGGUCCAACAAUAACCUACUCCGAGGAGAGGCAUUCCACUAUAAUCAAAGAGUCACUGUGAUUUUAUUGACAAAUUCACAACAUGAAUUAAUAAGGAUACAUAGUAGUUUUAAAUACAUUCAAAAGAAAGAAACAUGAAUCAAGACAAUUAUUUUCAUCUAGAACUAGAACACACAAGUGAUUCAGAAGGAGAACCAUCAUCAGAAGUAGUGACACCAUUUGAGUUUGUGUUUUGACUUUUCUCUGAACCAUUUAUGCUGAAUGGAGUAGUGAAUGACUUCAAAGGACCCUCAAGAUAUGUUGGCACAGGCAUACUUGAUGGAAGAUUAGGCAAUGUAGCUUCAAAAUUAAUCACUUGAGUAGCUUGUCUUAUUGAAGGCCUAUUAUUAGGAUCAGGAUGAGUACACCAAAGACCAACAAUCAUUAAGCACUUAAUUUGUUCCUCAUCAAAAUCUUCACCUAGUCUUGGAUCUACUGCUUCAAGAAUUCUCCCACUUCCAUAUAGCCCCCAAACCCACUCCACAAUAUUUAUUUCAUUUUCUUGAGCCUUAAUGAUAGGUUUUCUUCCACAAGCUAUCUCUAAAGCAACAAUUCCAAAACUAUACACAUCUGUUUCUUUACUAGACCUUCCUAUGGUAGCACAUUCAGGAGCCAUGUAUCCUAAAGUCCCUGCUAUAGCUGUAGUUUGUGCACCUUUUGCAUGAUCCACAAACCUUGCUAAACCAAAAUCUCCAAGUUUUACAUUGAACUCUGAAUCCAACAUUAUGUUGCUUGCUUUUAUGUCUCUAUGUAUAACACAUUGUUCCCAUUCUUCAUGCAAAUAUAACAAUGCAGAAGCCAAGCCUCUAGCAAUUGUAUAUCUAAUAGCCCAUUUCAACAAACUUUGUUCCUUGAAAAGAUGAAUGUCUAAACUACCAUUUGGCAUGUACUCAUAUACAAGCAAUAGCUUUUUUCUUUCAUGACACCAACCUAAUAGUUGCACUAGAUUUCUAUGCCUUAAUUUGCUAAUAAUUGUUACUUCUGAUGCAAACUCCUUUAUCCCUUGACGAGAAUCUUCUAACACCCUCUUAAUAGCAACAUAAGAUUUUGUGUCUUUAAGAAAACCUUUAUAAACACCUCCAAAUCCUCCUUGUCCUAGCUUAUGUUCAUCUUUGAAAUUAUUAGCUGCAUGUGCUAAUUCUGCAUAUGUAUACUUCUUAGGUCCUCCUCUUCCAAAAUCCUCACCCAUGUACUCUUCAAAAUCACCAUCUUCCUCUUCUUUUCCUUUCUUUAACUUCUUCCACAAGUAAAAUGAAAUAAAACCAAACACCGCAAUGAAAACAAAUCCACCAAUUCCCAAUCCUACUGCUAGUCCUGCCUUGGACUUUUUCUUCUUAGAACUAGGAGUAGGAGCUAUGUUGGUAUUUUCUAUGUUUGUUUUGUUGUUAUCUUCUUCUGCUUCCAAAUUUGAGCUAAAAUCCCAAGAAUUGAGAGUAUGAAUAGCAGUUGUAUUUCCUGUGGCAGCUGAGAAGCCAAUAGUAACAAAUUCUGGCAGAUAAAGUCUGAGAUCAACAAUGGAAGAUAGAUGUUGAUUCACAGUGGUAGAAGUUACAUUGUUAAAACCAGUGAAUACAACACUUAGAUUUAAUGAACUAGCAUUGUAACUUACCCAAGCCUCAUUGAGUUUACCUUGUUUGAUAUCAGCCAUCCAUGUCACAUUAGCAAUAGAUAUCAUUGAGUUGAUGUCGAUUCCGGCAUGUUCAAGCGGUGGAUCAAAAGAAUUCUUAUAGAUAUCAAACUCAACAGCAACAAAUGGAUUAGUUUGAGUUGAGUUCAUUGCUCGGUCAUCAAGUGUUAGACCCAUAGAACGACCUUUUGUAGCAUUAGGCAUCUUUGAACCAGAAGGGGCAAGAAAGAAUGCCAUACCAUCUCCAUAAUGUCUUCUAUUCUGUGAAUUUAUGGUAAAAGUGAAAUGGGAUGUGAAAUCUGUGAGAUUUUUUGUAGUUUUAUCCCACAAAUGGAUAUGUUGGUAAUAUGUGGCUCUACCAAUGCUUCCAAAGUUCAUAGUAAGAUCGAUAGCAGAUGAUGCCGGUUUUGCUGAUCCUUCAUAGAUUAUGUUUUUAUCAUUAGGAUCAAAACUAGUGAAGUUAAAGGUCAAUGAGGAUACAUUUGGAAUAAUCAAGUUCAAGAGUAAGAAAAUAGAUAUCAAGAAAUAAUUGUGGAAUUCAACAUGCAUUGAUUUCGGUGCUGCAAAGACCAUUAUUGGGAACUAGUUUGCUGGGAUUAGUUUACUUGAUACUGCAAGAGUCAAGCUACUUUAUGAGCUUCCUAAGCAGCCUUUGUUUACCAACUAUUCUUCAUUUCCUUGUCUUUUCGAAAAUGAGUCUUAUUGUAUAUUUUAUAAGCUAGUUAGCUCAUUGACGUGUUGCUAAACAACUUGCAUGACAUAGUGCUCGUUUGUAUCGCAGUAAGUUUGCCAAAAUCACGACGAGGCAGCCACCAUGGUUUUACAAAAAGUCAAAAACUACAAAUUGCUUGUUCCAUAUUAUGGACGCGGUCAGGGAGUUUGACAAAAUCACGGUGACUAAUAUAAUUUUACAAAAUCUACACUUAGUGAUUGCAAUAUCCCUAUUAAUUGAGUUAUAUUCACAGCAGCGUCAAUAAUGUGUUUAUCUUUGAGUGAAACAAUUAUUUAGCAGAAUUAAUUUAUAAACACAAAAAAACAUGUGCAAGAUUGUAUAGUCUGCAAGUUGGGUUAAUAAAGCCAGGUUCAUUUAGUUGCUUGGAAUAUUAAAAUACUAUGUUCUAUAACAAAACAAGGCUUUGUCUAACAAAACAAAGGACAUAAUUGAGUUUGACUCGUCAGAAACGGUGAUGGCUUCUGCACCACUUUGUUCUUCCCUCUACCUUUGCAACAACGAAGCAAUGACGGAGAAAGUCCAAAAAGAAAGUUAAGAUGCUAAAUUAAAUUAGAUAUUCCUUUUGAGCACUGUUGAGAUACUCAAUAAUUUGGCCUUCCUAGAAAUUGUCACAAGGGUACAUCCGUACAUAACGAAAUCCAAAAGAUUUCUAGUUACACUACAGGUUACAAGCCCUUUGACAAAAGUAGUCAUCACUUCUUUUUAAAUUUUUAGAUAAGUUCAUGUUUAGUAUUUUACUGUAUGUAUUUUCGAAUUACGGUGAUUCAUGGUAAUUUUGUAGAAGGUAUACUCUGUAAUUUAUGCAAAAACACAAGAAAUUUAGUUUAUACAAAAAUAAUAGUGGUCACCGUAAUUCUUGCAUAUUUAUUGCGUUAUACACUCACUGUGAUAUCCAAUACACACUAAGUUUCCGUAUUGUAUCGUUCAAUUAAAAAAAAAAACACACACACACACACAUCGUUAUUUCAAUUUGAUUACCUAUCAGAUGAACUUCUGAUUAUUAUCAGAGUAUCUCCCCUUAAAAAUCGGAUGGUUAAUACCAUUUUUUUUAUUUGUUCUUCCUUUCCUAGCAUAACAAGCUCCAACUCUUUCAUAAAACCACGGAAAGGGAAAAAAAAAAAGUAGUAUAUGUGAUGUGAAUAAUGUCGGAAGAAUUAUGUCCCUGUCGGGGCGGCUCCAGACAUAAAUUAUUAGUGGGGCUAAUAUUUUUGGUUCAAAAAUUAAAUUAUAUUAAACUUACUAAAAAGCAACACAGUACUUAGAUAGUGUAGCAAUGAGGCAUCAAAUGUUCAUGUAGUGCAUACAUAUAUAAACUAGCAUGAUGGAGUUUCUUCAAUCUUAUAAACAAUUUCAGUCAGGAAAGUAACCUACCGAAUCAAGUGUAAUAUGUGUAUAUGUAAUACACAAACUUUAUCCUUUCAAACAGAGGUGUGCUAAGCCAUGGCAUUUGAAUGUUGAGGACUCUGAAGUUAUCCACAGUGAUACUUUUUGAAGCAAUUAUCAGUUUCAAUCUUAGUGAUUCAUUAUUUCAAUUUGAUGAUCAAGAUUUCAUUAUAUUAAUAGGACAGAUUACCAACAGAAAUGUUAUUAUGACACAAUUUGUUUAAGGGGGAUUGAUGUGACACUGAACUGGCAACAUUUAAUUUAAUAUCUAAAAUGAAAUAAACAUUGUAGAUUGGGUUUGUGGGCUAUAUGGAAGAGGGAAAAUUCUUGAAGCAGUGGAUCCAAAAUUAAGUGGAGAUUUUGAAGAGGAACAAAUCAAGUGUUUGAUGAUUGUUGGUAUUUGGUGUGCUCAUCCUGAUCCUAAGAAUAGGCCUUCAAUAAGACAUGCUAUUCAAGUGCUUAAUUUUGAAGCUCCACUGCCUAAUCUUCCAUCAAGUAUGCCUGUACCAACAUAUCUUGAGGGCCCUUUGAAUUCAUUCAAUGCUCCAUUUAGCAUAAGUGGUUCAGAGAAAAGUCAAAGCCAGAAUAUAAUAAGCUUUAGUUCAAACACAAACUCAUCUGGGUUUACUACUACUACUACUACAACUUCUGAUGAUGUUUCUCCUUCUAUGUCUCUUCUGUAUUCUAGAAGAAAUUAAUUUGAUUUUAAUCCAUUUUUAUUUCUUUUGAAUGUAUUUAGAACUUGUCUUGAUGUAUCCUUGUUAAUCACAUUUUUUUAUGUUAGACAUUUUUCAUUUGUUUAUUCAAAUAUCAUUGUUAAUUGUUGUUCAUAGCAUAGCAAGCUCCAACUCUUUAGACCCUUUCUCGUUUAACUAUUUCAUAAAUAUUACUAUAAAUUUUGUUUGAUAUGGAUUGAAUCUAACUCCACCUCAAAAGGACUCUAAAUUGGGUUCAUGAAGCCCAACUUGUACAUCGAAAUCAGUGACAAAUCCUACCCCUGGACAAUUGGCAUCCGGCAGUUCAUUCUUCCCCUUUCUUUUAUAGGGUUCAUUCUUCUCGUUCAAUUGAUACGAAUUGAACCGGACUCUACCUCAAAACUAUAGUUCAAAGAGGAGGAUUGUCCAAUACUAUAUAAACCCUCACACUAGAUUCAUGAAUUCUGAUGUGGGGACUCCAAAUUAGUUUCAUGAAGCCAACUUUCACAUGGAAAUUGGUAACAAAUUUCCAUAUAAAGAACAUCAUUAUAAAACAUUAUAAUACUUAUUCAUUGACCUUGACCUUGACCUUGUAAUGUAUGAUGUUGUACAAAAUAAAGCAAAAGAAUUUUGGAAACGUAGGUCAAUUUUACACGUAUAUGGAUGGAUUAUUUGCAACAUAGGAUUCAUAAACACGGAUUGACCAAGACUAAUUACCCAUUGACUCAUUCAACUAUCCAACACAAACAAUGAACCUUCGUUAAUUAUGAUUACUACUAUUACUACCUAACAUGCAACCACACUUCAUGCCAUUUUGUAUAUGAUUCUAUGUCCACACAACAUCAAAUUUGCAACCAUGGCAGCAUCUUGCAACUUUCAGAAAAUCCAUCUUCUUGCUUUCUUUCAUUUAACAUUAUCCCUCUUGCUUCUUGUAACAUCUCAUGGAGCUCCAUUAUCAUUCAACUAUGAUCAACUUGGUAGUGACAAAACAAAAGCCUUAAAUUUUUCAGGUACUGAUGUCUAUCAAGACAACCAAGUCCUCCAACUCACAAGAUACGAGAAAGACAGUCUAGGUAGAGUCACAUAUUCAAAACUGUUUCAUCUUUGGGACAUAAACACAAAUCAAGUCACAGAUUUCACUACUCGUUUCUCAUUUACUAUUAACACCCCUAACAAAACCAAUCAUGGAGAUGGCAUCACAUUCUAUUUGGCACAUCCAAAUUUUCCACUACCUGUUCCAAGAGAUGGAAGUGGUAUUGGUCUUGUAAGCCCUGUUAAAUUGAAUAAUCCAAAUUUCAGAAAAGAAUAUCCAUUUGUAGCUGUGGAGUUUGAUACUUUUUUUAAUGAUUUUGAUCCUAAAUAUGAUCAUGUUGGGAUUGAUGUUAAUUCUAUAAGCACUUCUUACACUACACAAUGGUUCACUAGCAUGGAUGAAAGAGGAUAUGAUGCUGAAGUGAGUUAUAAUUCUAGUUCAAACAACUUAUCUGUCACCUUCACAGGUUAUUCAGAUAACAAAAUGAUUCAACAGAAUUUGUGGAGUGUUGUCGAUUUGAGAGAAGUUCUACCUGAUUGGGUUGAAUUUGGAUUCACUUCAGCAACAGGGUUGUUAUGGGGGGAGUAUCAUACUCUUAACUCAUGGUCCUUCAACUCAAAUUUAGAUUUUGAAGCAGAAAAAGAUGGAACAAAAAUAGGACUAGUUAUAGGACUAAGUGUUGGUGGUGCUGUUGUUUUGAUUUGUGUUAUUGGGUUGGUUUGUUUUGUGAAAUGGAAACUGAGGAAUAAAUAUACGAACGAUGUUUUGCAUUCUGAUCUUGCAAUGGAUAAUGAUUUUGAAAGAAGCUCUCUACCUAAGAAGUUUACCUUUGAAGAGCUUGCUAGAGCAACUAACAACUUUGCAAAAGAACACAAAAUCGGAGAAGGAGGUUUCGGAGGAGUCUACAAGGGAUUUAUAAAAGACUUGAAAACUCAUGUUGCUAUAAAGAAGGUUUCUAAGGAAUCAAAUCAAGGAGUUAAGGAGUAUGCAUCUGAAGUUAAAGUGAUUAGUCAAUUGAGGCAUAAGAAUUUAGUUCAACUUUUCGGAUGGUGUCACAGACAAAACGAUCUGCUUUUAGUUUAUGAGUUUGUGCAAAAUGGAAGCUUAGAUUCUUACCUUUUCAAAGGAAAAGGUUUACUAACAUGGACAGUGAGAUAUAAUAUAGCUAGAGGCUUAGCCUCAGCAUUAUUAUACCUUCAUGAAGAGUGCGAACAAUGCGUACUUCAUAGAGACAUAAAACCGAGCAAUAUUAUGUUGGAUACUAAUUUCAAUACAAAGCUUGGUGAUUUUGGUUUGGCUAGAUUAAUGAACCACGAGAUCGAAUCAAAAACAACUGUUUUAGCAGGUACAUAUGGUUAUUUAUCACCUGAAGCUGCUACUAGAGGUAAAGCUAGUAGAGAAGCUGAUGUAUAUAGUUUUGGAGUUGUUGCAUUGGAAAUAGCUUGUGGUAGAAAAGCAAUUGAACCGAGUCUCGUUGAAGAUAAUAUUUACUUGGUAGAUUGGGUUUUGGAAUUUUAUGGUAAAGGUGAGCUUCUUAAAGGAAGUGAUUCAAGAUUAUAUGGAGAAUUCAAUGAGAAGGAAAUUGAGAGAUUAAUGAUAGUUGGACUUUGGUGUACUCAUAUUGAUCAUGUUCAAAGACCUAUGAUUAGGCAAGUUGUUCAAGUGCUUAAUUUUGAUGCUCCAUUGCCUAAUCUUCCAUUACAGAUGAAUGCUUCUAGUUCUACCUAUAAUACAUCAUUCUAUUCUGUGUCUUCUAAAUCUAAGAGUCCUUCUGAUUUUGCAACUAAGACUUCAACUUCAAGCAAUAGUACCGUCACAGGGUCCUCCUCGCAAUCAAGUACUGCCUUUGAAAUCAUUUCUCCAUCAGCUGCACUUCUAAAUACAUUCUAGUUUGAUUUUAUGUUAUAAUUAUAAUCUGUAUUUCUUUCUUUUAUAAGCUUUAUCUUAGGAAUGAAUUGAGAUUGUACAUUAGUGUUACACAUAAUCUUUUGGCUCUUUUAUAUUUACUUGUCUAAUGCAUUUUCUUCUUGCAAGUUGCAACUUCAAGUUUUAAACUCACCUUAGUUUAGUGCCACAAAUAAUUUCUAAGUCCUUUAAUAUGUAUAGGUCCAAUGCUUUUUUAUUUUUCCUGUAACAUCAAAUAUAAAAGUUCUUGGGAAAUCACUGUCUUUUGUCUUAAUCUUCUCUAAUUAAAUAUGUUAUUUGACUGGUUUUCUAAUUAAAGUCAUAUGUUGCAUCUUUGGGACGAAGUAAAAUCUAUAUGUAAAUCUUUCUUUUCAAACAAGCUACCCAUCUUUAUGUAAAUCCUUUUUCUUUUUACUUUUUCCUUUUUUCUUUUUUCUUUUUUCAUAAGUUUCAACUCCUCAACACGUUGUCUCCAAAAGACAAUUUGUUAAAGCAAGGUAAAAAGAUAUUUCCGCACGUACAUUAUAUUUCCAGGCUUCUAAGUUCUAACAAUUGAUUUCUUGUCAAACAAACAAUUGACUUCUCAAUAUAAGUUUAUUAUUAUUUUAUUUCAAAAAAAGAAAAGAAUGUGAAAUUGUAUUCAUAUAUUAUAUAUUAUUUUUAGGCAUGCGGGAAUUUUUAUGAAGAAAGAGGUAUAGUGAACUUCUUGACAGAUCCACAAGAAGCGAGAUCGACACUCCGAUCAGCGGACGUUAUGGUAUAUGGAUGGGUGGGAAACAUGUUUUGUGUAGAUUUAAAUGUAGUUUCCUCACUUGUGGACUGAGAGCCGAAGAUUUUACAGUAGCGGAAGGAUAAAACAUGAAAAACAUAGGAUGUGCGAGAAACACAUACACAGGUGGGAAAAGAAAUUCUCAAGUAAGAAACGUACCUAGUAUGAAUUCUUUAGUUUUGGCCCAAUUCAAAUGAUGUGGGCUUCAAAGACCAACCCAGCCUCAUGGUGAUUUCAUGAGAUCUCCAGAACGUUCUUUUCAGUUAUCACCCCCAAAUAGAAAAANNNNNNNNNNNNNNNNNNNNNNNNNNNNNNNNNNNNNCGUUCUUUUACCACAAUUGGCGCGGAAAUGGCCAAACGGUUUUCGAAUUUUCUAGCAAAGACUCGUUUCCUCCUGUAAUUCAUAUAAAUGCCUAUCAAUUAUCCUCUGGCGAACCAUCAAAGAAUUUCAAAUCAAAACAUUCAUAACAAUCUUCAAAGCUUUCAAAUUCAGAGAAGAAAAAGAUGUCGCUGAUUCCAAGUUUCUUCGGUGGCAGAAGGAGCAACGUCUUCGAUCCAUUCUCCCUCGACGUUUUCGAUCCAUUCAAGGAUUUUCCGUUAUCCAAUUCACUUACCGCUUCCUUUCCUGAAUUGUCUCGUGAAUAUUCUGCAUUCGUGAGCACACGUGUGGACUGGAAGGAGACUCCAGAAUCGCACGUGUUCAAGGCAGAUCUUCCAGGACUGAAGAAGGAGGGAGUGAAGGUUGAGAUCGAAGAUGAUAAAGUUCUUCAGAUAAGCGGAGAAAGAAGCGUUGAGAAAGAAGAUAAGAACGAUCAAUGGCAUCGCGUGGAGCGUAGCAGUGGAAAGUUCUUGAGGAGAUUUAGAUUACCAGAGAAUGCUAAAAUGGAUCAAGUUAAGGCGAAUAUGGAGAACGGUGUUCUAACUGUCACUGUUCCUAAAGAAGAAGUUAAGAAGCCUGAAGUCAAGACAAUUGAUAUCUCUGGUUAGAUACUAAAUCGAGUUCUGUGUUAGAUUGGUGUGCUUUGCUUUAUUCUAAUGGAUAUGUGUUUUGUUGUGUACUGUGAGUAUGAAAGAAAAGGAAUGAAAUCAUGUAAUGUGUUUUGUAAUUUCCAGAAUCUUAUGUUAUGUGAAUAAAUUCCAGUUUGAAAUAAGUAUGAUAUUCCAUUUUUAAGUCAAAUUUAUCUCUCUGAUGGUAUAUGAAGUACUAGAAGAAUAUUAGUAUGAAUUUGAAAUUAGCUGAAUAAUGUUACGGAUGCAUUCAAUAAUAUAUUCAGAUAGAAUAACCAACUUAAUUAACAUUUUGCAUUUCUAUGGAUCAUUCUAGAAUAUUUAUAAUAUAAUGACUUAAUGAUACAACCUUACAAUUUUAAGGAUUAACUAGCAUGUUAUACUGCUUACAGAAUAGUAGUUGAUAUAUGUGUGCAAAUGAAAAAUGCUACAAAUUUUCAGCACCUCCAACUCAUAAGAUCCGAAACUGGAUAUGAAUCAUAGUAGUUUGACUGCAAUCUGUUCACUUUCAAUUAACCUGUUGCCUAAAGAAAGAACGAACUUAGAAAAAUUGCCCAUUUAUUAUGGGAGAAGACAGUGGACCUAGGAAUGGCAUGUUUUGGGGAUGGAGCUUGUAUUCUUUGACCGAUUUUUACGGUAGCAAAUCGGUAUACAUUGUAACUUAGCUGUUUUAUUUUGGGACUUCGUGUGGUUGACUCUAUCAAUGAGAAUACUACGAUAUUUUCUCCUUUUGUGACCCUUUUCUGCGCCUAUUUGUAGUUUCCCUUCGAUCGGGACUUACCAUUAAAAAAAUGGCCGUGUAUGGGUAAAUGAUAGUUGGCAAUGGAGGAGGAACUACUUUAGUUUGGAGGAAGAGCUUCAUAGGAGUUUAUUGAAGGUUAUUGGAGGUUUAUCCAUCACAAAAGGAGGACGACUCGUGGUCAUAUGCUAAUGGAGGUGGGUUCACGGUUAGCUCUAACUACUUGUAUUUAUUAAAAAUUAUCUUCAUUGGAAUUGGUAUCAGUGGGGGCUAUUUCAAAAAUUUGGGGGAGGGGCUCCGUCUAGUGUUCUCUUGGAAAGCGCUACUUGGUGGGUUACCAAUGGGAGAAAAUUUAGUAAUUAGAAGCAUGAUUUCAAAAUGUCGUGGCUGCUUCGUGUUCGCUAUGUGUUGGGGUUAAUGAAAUGGAAAAUCACUUGCUUUAAGUUGCUUAUUUCAUGUCCAAUGGCUUGGGUCGUAUGGUCUUUGGUACACUGGUGAUUUGGAGUGACUACGGUAUUGUCGAUAGGGCCUGCCCACACACAUGUGCCGGGUGUGUGACUACAUCAAGUCUCAAAAUUUUGAGGCGCUAGUUAUAUAUAUGUUUAAUGUUCAUAAAAUAUUAAAUGUUUAUUAAUGGAUUAGUGGUAGCUUGUAAUGAUUUUGAGUGUAAAUUCUUUUGUUCAAAUUCCUAUAAUGUUUUUUUUUUUUUUUGUAUUANNNNNNNNNNNNNNNNNNNNNNNNNNNNNNNNAGUUUGUCUUUUUAAUAAUUGAUUAUGAUGUCUUUUUUGGAUGUUAUAUACGAUAAUAAUUAUUAUCUUUUUAUAUUAUUUAUAAUUUAAAUUUUUUUAUAUUAGUGAUUUGCGAACAGCUAUAGAGAUGCUAUCGUUAAUUUUGUUUCUUAGGCAGGCCGCGGCCUGUCCAACCCACAUGUAGCUCCGCCCGUGGACAGAACAANNNNNNNNNNNNNNNNNNNNNNNNNNNNNNNNNNNNNNNNNNNNNNNNNNNNNNNNNNNNNNNNNNNNNNNNNNNNNNNNNNNNNNNNNNNNNNNNNNNNNNNNNNNNNNNNNNNNNNNAAGUCAGAAUCAAUUCUACACGUUCAGAAUCAAUUCUGGAUGCUCCAGAAUUGAAACCAAACAUACACUAUGAUGUCUUUUUUGGAUGUUAUAUACGAUAAUAAUUAUUAUCUUUUUAUAUUAUUUAUAAUUUAAAUUUUUUUAUAUUAGUGAUUUGCGAACAACUAUAGAGAUGCUUUCGUUAAUUUUGUUUCUUAGGCAGGCCGCGGCCUGUCCAACCCACAUGUAGCUCCGCCCGUGGACAGAACAAUAAACAAUCCAACUCAUUCUUAAAAAUUGAAGCUUUAAGAAUGGUAUUUUACAAAGUUGAAGCUUUUAGUUUAGAAUAGUAAUAACAAUAACAUGGAUAUCAGAUUCAUACAAUACAUGUUUAAAACCAUGAACAUAUUUUGGUAUUGUCAUUCCAUCCUUCUUUAAAAGUCCAAAUAUUGAAACUAUAUCUCAUUAUUCUAUUUCACUCUUCGUAUUUAAACAUAACAAUACGUCUUUAUAUACUAUAUAAGAUGCCAUAGACACUACUAAAUAACAUUGAUCACCUUCCAACAUUUAUAAAAUUGUUAUUGAUAAUGGUCAUUUUGCACUCCCGCCAUCCCAUAUUAGAUGUUUGUUUGGACAUUUCACACAAUUUAAAAAAGUGUGAUAAUUAAAUAGAGAGAUGCAACAUUUAUUUAAUUGUUCUAAAAUAGUACUGAUGACUUAUUUGAGAGUCAUGACUCCUAAAAGUAGUAAUGAUUAAACAGUACAGUUGUAAAAUAAUAUAUUAAAAGUAGAAUAGGUUAAAAAAUACAUGAAAUAACUUUUAAAAAAAGAAAAGAAAAUUAGAUCAAAUUUCAAAAUAUACCCCUACACAAAGCACAAGGCAUGCACCACUUUAAAUCCUUAGCAAUAAAUGGAAAAGUUGAUCACUUAUUUUAUCAAUAAUGUAUAAUUUCUCUACUUAAAAGUUGCCGAUUAGGGCAGACAACUUGGUCGACAAUUGUUUGCUCUUAGAUGUAGUAAUCAGCGAUUGGUCAUCUAGUCCGCCAUCAUGCGGCGCCUAAGGUUGAGGGUUGAUUUCUCCCUGAGGGUUGAAUUUUCUUGGAUAUUGUAACUGGCAAGAGUCAUGUUGUCACGUAGAUUCUCAUUGUUGAACAUCAAUACUUGCUGGUGCACCGGUAUUUCUUUCUCCUCAAAAAUUUUCUUCUUCACAUCGAUUAUCGUGUCUAAACAGUUAACCGAUAGGGUAAACGGUCUCCGCCCACUCUUUAUGAAUAUUUUCAUCUACACCUCAAUUACCAACACAUUAAUCAAUCAUAAAAGCAACCGAAAGAAGACAAAAAAACCCAUUGCGAAAUUUAUUACAGCACAACAAAGCAAAAUAAAGGACACAUACGAUACCUUAAGAUGUUUAUCGACAAAGUUUGGAUCGGAUGUGAUAGUUUCCCAUGACUUGCUCACACAUUUGAAUCGCACGAUGUCUUUUACACUAAGCUGAGCUAGGAUUCCGCCGAUGAGUUCCAUGGGGAGGAACGCUGAGUUAUUUGCUGCAUUGGAUCGACGACUUCGCUUUCUAACCAUAGUAGAAGAAGUUGAAUAAACCCUAACUACGUAACACAACUCGAUCAGUGAGCGCAAAUUAAUUAAUUUUGUGAACAGAAAGAAAGAAUUUGCGGAUGUUACUUCUACUGUGCAUCACAAUUGACAACAAAAGACAUCGUGAAACAAAUGAAAGUAAUAUGGUCCGAUCCAAAACUAGGAAACACUAACAACUCUUUUUGGCAUUCACAAACUGAUAUAUUUCAUACAAUUUAUUUCUUACCGAUAUCAAAUCAAAGCACAUGAAAAUAUAAGGCCAUGUAGCAAAUAGCAAAAUAUCAGUCUUAACAAAUGAAAAUAAUUUUGUUUUAUACGUAUUGAUUUAUAGGAACCAGGAAGUAUCAAAUCAAGAUCAAAUAAUGAAAGGAAAAAACUCUUCCCAGAAUGCACCCAUGCAUGGUGGUUGAGAAAGAGAUGGGCACCAGGCCAUGAGCAAUUUAGGUUUCCAACUGGUAAGCGCCGGUAAUUUGUCUUUUCAUUAUUGAAUGCAAUAUUGGUAUAAUUUGAAACAACAUGGAAAGAAAGAAACAACAAAGAAAAUAACAUACCGACGAAGAAGAGGAGGGAGAUAGGACGGCAGCGAUGGAAAGACGGAGUUGAAGAAUGGGCUAACUAGGGCUCUUUUCUACUUAAUUGUUAAGUUUUUUUUUUCCACGAAUUUUGGUUUACAUCUCCAUAAAAUAAUCUAGUUUAGUUAGAGGCCCGUACAUNNNNNNNNNNNNNNNNNNNNNNNNNNNNNNNNNNNNNNNNNNNNNNNNNNNNNNGAAUCUAUUAAUUUUUAUUUGAUAUUUAAGUUUAUUAUUAUAUUAAAGUAAAAAGAUUAUUUAGAAUAAAAUAUUUUAAAAAUUGAUAAAAAAAAUUGUUAAACUAUAAAGUGAAAUUAUUGUGUUAUUUCUUGCAAAAAAAAAAUUAAAUCAAUAAAUUUAUUUUUUGAAAGCUAUUAUCCCAUCUAUAUUUAUGUUUUUGGGUCAAGUAACCUAGUGACCGAAAUUCCACUUUUUUUAAGUUGAAAAAAUUAACUAUUCAAGAUUCAAACCCUAACUCCACUUUUAUGUAUAAGUUUAGCUCAACUUUUUUGAUGUUAUUAGAUUGAAAACAAACUUUUCUGAUUGUAUUCUAUAUAUUCUUGUAUUAUUUUUUUGUAUGAAAACAAACUUUCUCACAAGUUAUUUGUUUCAAAAGCACAUUUGAUUUUUUUCAUUUUUUUAUGGAUUUUAGAUUAUAUUUAUUUUUUUAUGGGUUUUAUAUUUUGUUUAUUUUUUGUAGAAUGUUAAUUUAAUUGUUCAACUCUCAUUUUCUUAUAAUAACUAAUGCAGGAUUUUAAUUUAUUAUAUAUACGAUUAAAAACGUAUACUAUAAUUUUUUUUUAAAAUGCCUAGUCACCGAUUCAAUCCAAUUUAAUACAAUAAUUAUUUUUCAUAUAGACCGAGACAUACAUCUGAGUCAUCCGGUAUCGACCAAUGAUCCAAUGGUUCUACCAAUAAACUAAUGAAUCAGCACCCUCACCGGUUCGAUGAACGGUUCGAUUUUUAAGAUACUGGUUUAUAUCUACCUAAAAACCACUCAAAGUGAUGAUACUUGUAUGGUUUUUGUCAACAUUUAGUCACAUAUACAUAAAAAACAUACAUAUUAUUUAAUUAUUUUUUCUUUGAGUGCAACCAAAUUGGGACCAAAUAUUAUUAAUCGCACAUGCAAGUAUUAGUCAUGAUCCAUUGUGAUUUUUUGACAUGUGUCUGGUUUAAAUCAUGCGUGUACUUUUUUUUAUAGAAGACAUGCCUUUUCAGAAAGAAAAAUGAUGGAUAUAAACAUGUGUGUCGCAAUAAAAAAUAUAUAUAUAUAUAAACAUGUGUGUCACAUAUAAUGCAAAUAUUAUUUAUUCUAUUAAAAACCCAUAGUUGUUUUAUACUACUCCCUCCGUCCCAAUUUAAUUGACACAGUUGACUGUUGUGCACUAUUCACACAUGAUGUUUUGACCUUAUUUUUCUACUAAUAAACGAAAAUAAAUAUUAGCAUAUAAGAUGUUGUUUGAUUCGUCUCGAUGAAUAUUUUCAAAAUAUUAAAUUUUUAUAAUUUUUACUAUUAUACAAUUAAAAAUAUUAAUCGUCAAAGUUAUAGAUCGGCAUGCAUGAAACAGUCAACUGUGUCAAUCAAAUUGGGACGGAGGGAAUAGUUGUUUUAGGGUCAGUGUUACGGUGACCACAUUCAUAAGUGGUACAUUUUGAAUCACCAUUCAUUAUUAUCAUAUAUUUUAACGAAGGUCGAUAAUUUUUUCUAAAAACGAAAAUUUAUGAAUUUUAUUGUUUUAAAAUUAAAAUAUAAUUGGUGUCAGUUCAAUAUAAGUUAUAUAUAUUUGUUUUUGUUAUUUUAAUCGAACCGGUAUAAAUUAAUUCAUUAUCUAAAUUGUAAAACUAAAGAUGACCAUAACUUGUAUAAAAUUCUAAAACUCGAAACUUUUCUUUUAAUCAAAAAAAUUCAUUUUUUCAAUGCUCGAAUCCUAUAAUUUAAGCAACAUGUAGAGACGUGCAAAAAGAUAGAAGGGAAUGAAAAAAAAAAUUCUCUUUAGUGUAUACUCUAAAACUUCUCAAGUUUUCAAAACAUGUUAAAAGACUUUAGAGUAUAUUAAGAGGCCUAAAGAAAAUGAUGUUUACUUUUGUCACCCUACUAUAUUUUCGCGCGACCUACGAAAUCAUCAAAAUAUUCUCAUCCGCUACUUAAGUAGAGAACAUCCCAAAAAAACACCCUACCUUUAUAAUGUCCGUUACUGAAAUAGUGGUAGGCAUUUUUCAAAAAAUCUCAUUUUUAUAAUGUCAGUUACUUAAGUAGCGGAAGAGUAAAAGAGAAAAGGUGUAAGGCGCACAAGUAACCGAUAAGGUGGUAAAAGUAAACGUCGAAAGAAAAUUUUCAAAAAAAUCUGGUGAAUAUCAGCACACCUUUCGUUUUAACCCAACUUCAUAUUAUGUGGGCCUAAAAGCCCAACUUCAAAAUCAUGGUGAUUUUUUUAUUUUUAUAAGCUCAAAUUGAUUUGAAAUGAAGAUAUCUAGAACGUUCUUUUUAUUUUUUGUAGAGAUAUCUAGAACUUUCUAUUUACCCCCAAAUAGAAAACCUAGAACUUUCUACAACAUUUGGCGCGGAAACUGCCAAACGGUUUUCGAAUUUUCCAGCAAGUACUAGUUUCCUCCUAUACUUGGUAUAAAUUCCUCAUCAGUAUCAUCUUCCAAACCAUCAAACAAUUGAAAAUCGCAAUAUUCAAUAACAAUCAUCAAAACUUUCAAAUCUUCAUUCAAGAAAUCACUUCGGAUAACAAAAUGUCGCUGAUUCCAAGUUUCUUCGGUGGUAGAAGGAGCAACGUAUUCGAUCCAUUCUCCCUCGAUGUUUUCGAUCCAUUCAAGGAUUUUCCGUUAUCCAAUUCCCUAUCCGCUUCCUUUCCUGAAUUGUCUCGUGAAAAUUCUGCAUUCGUCAGCACACGUGUGGACUGGAAGGAGACUCCAGAAGCGCACGUGUUCAAGGCAGAUCUUCCAGGACUGAAGAAGGAGGAAGUGAAGGUAGAGAUUGAAGACGAUAGAGUUCUUCAGAUAAGCGGAGAGAGAAGCGUCGAGAAAGAAGAUAAGAACGAUCAAUGGCAUCGCGUGGAGCGUAGCAGUGGAAAGUUCUUGAGGAGAUUCAGAUUGCCAGAGAAUGCUAAAAUGGAUCAAGUUAAGGCGAAUAUGGAGAACGGUGUUCUGACUGUAACUGUUCCUAAAGAAGAAGUUAAGAAGCCUGAAGUCAAGACCAUUGAUAUCUCUGGUUAGAUACUAAAUCGGGUUCUGUGUUUUGUUGUGUACUGUGAGUAUGAAAGAAAAAGAAUGAAAUCAUGUAAUGUGUUUUUGUAAUUUCCAGAAUCGUAUGUUAUGUGAAUAAAUUCCAGUUUGCAAUAAGUAUGAUAUUCCAUUUUUAAUCAAAUUUAUCUCUCUGAUGGUAUAUGAAGUACUAGAAGAAUAUUAAGUAGGUAAUAUGAAUUUCAAAUUAUCUGAAUAAUGUUACCGAUGCAUUCAAUAAUAUAUUCGGAAUUCAGCUAGAGUAACCAACUUGAAUAACAUUUUGAUAAUAUAAUGACUUAAUGAUACAACCUUAUUAUAUUAAGGAUUAACUUGCAUCUUAUACAACUUACAGAAUAGUUGACUGCAAUCUGUUCACUUUCAAUUAACCUUUUGCCGUAAAGAAAGAGGGAACUGAAAAAAAUUGCCCAUUAUUUAUGGGAGAAGACAGUGGACCUAGAAAUGGCAUGUUUUGUGGAAGAAUUGGUAAUGGGGAUUCAAAGUUGAGCACCUUAAUCACUUUCUUUAUAGAUGGUCUUGAUGUGUUAUUUGGAUUAGCACACCAAAGUCCAACUACUAGCAAACAUUCCAUUUCCUUCGCAUUAAAUUGCCCAUAUAGCUUUGGAUCUGCUGCUGCAAUGACAUUUUUCAAUCCAUAUAGCUCCCAAACCCACUCAACUAAUGAUACUUCACCCUUUAAUUCUUGGUGGUGUAUGCCUUUUUUCCCACAGGCUAUCUCCAACAAAACAACCCCGAAACUGAAUAUGUCAGAUUCCUUUCUAGCCUUUCCUGUGUCCAUGUAUUCCGGAGCUAGGUAACCCCUGGUUCCGGCUACAAUUGUGGUUUCUNGUCCAACAUUAUGUUGCUUGAUUUUAUGUCCCUAUGAAUCACGCAUUUUUCCAAUUCCUCCUGCAAAUAAAACAAUGCUGAGGCUAACCCAAGAGCUAUAUUGUACCUCAAGUGCCAUGACAAGAUGCUUCUUCCUCCACGAAAAAGAUGAAAAUCUAAGCUGCCAUUUGGCAUGUAUUCGUAAAUUAGGAUCAGUUCAUUUUUCUUGUGGCACCAACCAUUGAGUUUCACCAAAUUUCUAUGUCUCAAUUGGCUAAUGAUCUUCACUUCUGCUGAGUAUUGCUUAAUACCCUGUCGUGAAUUUGCUGAUAUCCUCUUUAUAGCUGCAACUGAGUUUGUGUCUUUAAAAUAACCCUUGUAAACACCACCAAAACCACCUUGGCCAAGCUUCAGUUUCUCUUCAAAGUUGUUUGUUGCAUUCAAUAAUUCCUGAUAACAAAUUUUCUUAGGUCCAGCACCCAUUUGGAAUUCUUCAUCCAUAUUCUGAUCAGAAACGGUUUCUGAAUUAGGUUCUUCUUCUUUUCCUUUAUUCUUCUUCCACAAAAAAUAUAUUAACAUUGCUAAUAAACCCAAAGACAAACAUAAACAUCCAACUGCCAAUCCCUCCCACAAUUUAAUCUUGAUUAAGUUUCGUUUCUUCUCAUCUACUUUUCCUGCUGAAGCUGAUAUGCCCACAUACUCUGAUAAAUGCCCUCUUAGAUUGGUUUGUGAAAAGUUGUGUGGCUCUUGCCCUUCACUCAAUCUGUAUCUAGUGGCAGAAACAUUUAGAUUAUUCUUUUCAGAAAUGUAUUUAGAAACAAGAAUAAUCCCUAAUCCAUCUUCUUGAUUUCCAUAUAGGAAAUCUGAGCUUGCAAUGACAAACACAAAAUCAUCUUCAAAUAUACUGUAAUUUGAAAACAUUGUAGUCAAGUCAUAAACAUGAUUUAUGCUUCUGUAAUAAAAUUUGAUAAGUCUUGGAUUUUUGACUUGACCAACAUAAGAAGCCUUAUCUGGGUCACCAGCAGGGUACCCAGUGAGUCGAAAAACAUAGUCAUAAUCUUCAAUAGUGGAAUGUCCAUGAAACUCUAGCGGCAAAUCACAAUUGUGACUAAACAUUGGAUAAUCAGAAGACACAAGAUUAGCAUGUGCAAGGACUGUGAGGAAAAGCAAAAUUGUUCCCCUUGCAUAACAAAAUAUAGGAACCAUUUGUCUAUAGCUUUAACAAUGUUAGAGUUGUUUGAUUUAUGUUUGAAGCCUAACACUUUCAUGUAGUACGUAUUUAUUUACAGUUCUUUAUUUGUCAUUUAUCUAACUUCCUUUCCAGUGUAUAUUUUUAUUUUAAGUUUUAACUAUUGCAUAGUAUAUGUAAAAAAAAAAACUAUUGCAUAGUAUAUGUCUAGAUUUGCUAUCCACAACUCUUGUCGAUGAACACUAUGCAAAUGGGAUCACAAUCAUCUCAUAAGAAUUAACGCUCAGCAACUUUUGAUGUUGUAAUAUGGUGUUAAUUACUAAGUAGUAGUACUAUGUAAGUUAACUAGUUAAUGAAUUUCUCAUUUGAAAAAAUUCGGGUUCAAUUCUUAGGAGAAAUGAUUUUUUUUUAUUGAAUUUUACUUAUCUCUUACCGAAUUUUAAAUCAUGAGACUUAUUUCCUGCAUAUUAGAGAGUUAACACAAAACAAAAAAAAAAAACUACUUAAACUAACAUACUAUAUAUGUUGCAUUGUUGUGUUGGAUAAAGGAAAUAAUAUAUACUAGAAUAUAAAAUUAUAUUUAUUCAUGCAGGAUUUUAGAAAUAGAUAAAUAAGUUUGGCCUUUUAACGAAGGUUAACGAUGUAUCAUUUUAUAAUGUUUCCCUUAGACAAGAUCGUUAACAAACUUCAUAAUCAUUUGUGUUAAUGACACAUGAAGAUUUUAUUAUAGAUACCUCUUUCAUCAUUCUUGAACAAUUUAUACUUGAGUAAAUUGCAGACAAGGGUUCCUACAAUAAUCUAAUAUGCAAUCUCAUCCUCAAAUAUCACGAAAUGUAAAUCUCCACAUGAAACACCAAAUGACAUCCAAAAAUUUAGAACAUAAACCCAAAGGGUGUGGUGUGGAUGUUACCUUUUCAGUGUGACAAAUAUGAAGAGUAGGAGGUGCAGUAGAGGCACGUGCGGUAGCAGAAGCAGCUGCUGCAGAACCAGACUCAGCAGCAGAAGCUGGAACAGCAGAGGAGGCGGCAGGCGUGGCAAAUUGCGAAUGAUAGCCGGGGUUCUUCCCGCCCUUUAUAGACUCUUCCACCUGUAUAGUAACAAUCAAUCACAAACUCUUAUUGUUGUUUCAUUUGAAACGUCUAAGGUAAGAUUCUAAACAAAAAUACCACACUCAGAUCCCUUAUGGUUUUCUAAAUAUCUACCUGCUUAAGAUUAAAAUGACUCGGGUAGUUUGUUACGAUGUUAACUUCCGACGAUGGCGAGUUUUGUCGCAAGAAGUCAAUUAUUCCAUCAGGUAUGGGAGGUGGUCUCAAACCUUCUUUAAAUGCCUUUCUUAACUUUGUAGCUUCUUGACGUGACUUGGCAGCCGCUUUCUUUAACAUUUCCUUUUCCCUUAAAUGGCGUAAUCCUCCUCCAUAAACAUAUGGUAUCAAUUCUACUUUCAAAGACUUCAAGUUACACAGAGAAGAGAACUUAACCUUGAAUAAAUCUGGAACUAAGGAGAGAACCUAAGCAAUGAGGAAUGAGCGUGAAUUAGGAUUAGUUUUAUGCAAUCAAUUGAAUUUUAACAAUUGUUUUUUAAUGCAUCUUAAGAAGAAAGUAUAAAUAAAGCAUGAAAACAUGACAAGGUACCUGAAGAGCAAGUGAAGUGACUGUCAAUGAUUCUACGUUGGCAAGGUCUUGCAGCAUGCUUAAUAGAACCAAAGCACGCUCCAUUGAAACUGCAACAGUAGGUGCACAUUCUUCAGCAUUGAUAUUUACUUGUUUAACGGAAGAAAGACCACUCCCACAUAUUUUCUGAUCAGUUCUUGUGGGGAAGGUAAAUGUACAAAGACUUGGAGUAGAUAGCUCGACUUUGGCAACGUUAGAUGAAUAAUAAUACAUAGAUAAGGAUUUGAGCAUCCUUUACCUUACAACUACCAAUGACUAGACUAUUCAACUUGGUAAAGGCAGAAAAAGGCUCGACACAAGAUUUGAGAGGGGGAAAUGUGGUGCGAUAUUGAGGAAACCAAGAUUAAGCACUCUUUUUAUUGUCGAAAAAAAGAGAUUAAGCACUUUUUGAUAUUUCCUUUAAAUUUCAACGCGCGGCUACAAAAAUCUCCCGCGGUUUUAAAAAUUAAAUUUUGAUAAAUCAGGUUUUUAAGUAAGUUAAUUAAUAGUUAAAAAUUCAUCACUUAACAUGAACAAGGGAUAGAUAAUAGAUUUAUUUAGGUUCAAACAUCAACCCUACAUAUAAAUUAAAAUAUAAUAUCCUUGCUAAUAGAUUUAAACUUUUAUUUUAGUCAACAAUUUUUUUAUUCAAUUAUUUUAGUUUAUGUAUUAUGUUUUAAAUAAUAUUUUUUUUCAAAUUAUAUUGUUAAGAUCAUAAAGAUUAAAUAGUCUAUUACUUUAUUAAUAUAUUAAAAUCGAUUACCACCAAAAUUACUAAUUUAUCCUUAUAGCUUUUAACCACGUUGCAAGUAUUAUAUCCUUCAUUGUAAUUUAAUUAAAAAAAUAUAGAAAGAAUAUAAGAUAAAUACAAAAAAUAAAUAUAGAAAGAAUAUAAGAUAAAUACAAAAAAAUAAUAUAAGAAAAAGAAAAGAUGAUAUCCUUAAAAAUAGAAAGAAAAAAUAAAUAAAUUAUAGAUUAGAUCAAAACAGAACAAUCUAUGCUCAUAAAAAUAGCGAGAUUAAUACGAUGAACUCAAUAAUUUCACUAAAAAAAAUUGAAGAAUAAAAUAAAAGAUAAAUACAAUAAAAAAAUUAUAUGCUUAAAACUAAGAAUAAAGUAGAUGAUAAGAAUGUAGAAAUACCUUACCAAAAAAAAUGUAUAAAUAAAAACAUAAACAAUAUUUUUCAUAAGAAAAAAACAUAAACAAUAUACUAUUAACUAUUAAUAAUAAUAAUAAUAAUAAUAAUAAUAAUAAUAAUAAUAAUACAAUAAACUUAAUUACUAUCAAAUUUACUAAAUUAUCCAAAAUAUUCCGAAUCAAAUUUCUAUAUUUUUUUUAUUAAAAAAUAUUAACGGGACCAUUAUUUGUGAAGGAUACAUAAAAAAUUGGAUAAUUUAUUAUUGACAAUUAUAAUCAAAUUUACUUAUUUAAUAAGUUUUACAAAAAAUAGCACAAUAGUUUCACAUAUAUUUUAUAAAUAUUAUAUAACAAUUUUUAAAUAUUUUAUUCUAAAUAAAUUUUCUACCAUAAAGUCCAUAAUAUAAUGACAAACUUAAAUAUCGAAUAAAAGUCAAUGACCCGUGUUCUUCGCACGGGUCUUUUAACUAGUUAAAUUAAUAAUAUUUUAAGGUCAUAAUAAUGAUAUGUAAUUAAAAUAAGUCAUUUUGAAUAUUUAAAUGAACUUUUGUAAAAAAAAAUAGAACUAAAAUUAAAAAGGAUUAGAGUUCGAAGAAAAUUUUUAGAUACCUAAAAGUAAAUUUGAUAUAUUUAGAAAAAAAUUGUGAUGAUUAAAUUUUCAUGAUGGUUAUCUUAUACUUGAAAUUUUGUGAUGGUUAUCUGAUACAUGAACUUUUGUGACCAUUAGAUUUUGAUAAAUUGUGGAUAGAGGACUCUUAAUUUUUUUNNNNNNNNNNNNNNNNNNNNNNNNNNNNNNNNNNNNNNNNNNNNNNNNNNNNNNNNNNNNNNNNNNNNNNNNNNNNNNNNNNNNNNNNNNNNNNNNNNNNNNNNNNNNNNNNNNNNNNNNNNNNNNNNNNNNNNNNNNNNNNNNNNNNNNNNNNNNNNNNNNNNNNNNNNNNNNNNNNNNNNNNNNNNNNNNNNNNNNNNNNNNNNNNNNNNNNNNNNNNNNNNNNNNNNNNNNNNNNNNNNNNNNNNNNNNNNNNNNNNNNNNNNNNNNNNNNNNNNNNNNNNNNNNNNNNNNNNNNNNNNNNNNNNNNNNNNNNNNNNNNNNNNNNNNNNNNNNNNNNNNNNNNNNNNNNNNNNNNNNNNNNNNNNNNNNNNNNNNNNNNNNNNNNNNNNNNNNNNNNNNNNNNNNNNNNNNNNNNNNNNNNNNNNNNNNNNNNNNNNNNNNNNNNNNNNNNNNNNNNNNNNNNNNNNNNNNNNNNNNNNNNNNNNNNNNNNNNNNNNNNNNNNNNNNNNNNNNNNNNNNNNNNNNNNNNNNNNNNNNNNNNNNNNNNNNNNNNNNNNNNNNNNNNNNNNNNNNNNNNNNNNNNNNNNNNNNNNNNNNNNNNNNNNNNNNNNNNNNNNNNNNNNNNNNNNNNNNNNNNNNNNNNNNNNNNNNNNNNNNNNNNNNNNAUUAAUGGGACCAUUCCGUAUAAUGGAUUUCGAAGACGAACUUAGCUUUAACCCAAUUCUUCUACAAUUGUUUUUGGGAAUUUUUUUUUUCUACCCCUACAUUUAUCUCUUUACCUCAACAUAUUUUAAAAUAUUUCCAUUAUACCCUUUAUAACACCCCGCAUCGAUUUAUCUAGAAUAUCGACAAGAGUGUACAUAACUGAAUCGGGAAACAUUAAAUUUUCAUUACAUAUUGUCCGAAUACAUAAAUAGGAUUACAAAAUCCAAGAGAUUAAUACUAAAUUGAGCUAACAACUGAAAACAUAAAGAAACUAAAUCUUAUACAAAUAUAAGAUAACAUGACGUCAGCUCAACUAGCAUAAUCCAAGUAUCUGAACUUCAUGCUUGCAGACCAUGAUAUCUUGGUCAACCUGUUUAUCUGAAAUCAAAUAAGUGGGGAAUAAGAAUAGUCACUUCGUCUUAGUGAAUUCCUACUACCCAGUUACUAUUGGUUUCUACACCGGGGCAACUAAUGAACUAAAAGUUCCUUGAUCCUGAUUGUCAGUCUCUAACAUAAUUUUAUAACAUGAUUUCAUAAACAUAAUAAUAUAAAGGUAUAACACAGAUUAAUUAUUUUGUUCCUUUUAACAUAACUAAGACACUCUGAGGUGAGCCGGUCUCAGAGGAGGCCUAACAUAUCCGUUGUCGAUGAUUAUACGCAUCGACACGGUAUGAAGCUCACAAUCGUAACAUGAUUGGAUUCCUCGAAUCCCAUAACGUGGUACAUAAGUAACCAUCAUGAUUGACUGACUUUCUUAACUUACCUUAAUUAUCCUGAUUGUUAUCCUGCCCAUGAAUUCCCUCCCAGGGUAUUUCUAAACUGUCCUGAUACUUAAUUUCCUGAGUGUGCUUAACAUUCUAAACACAUAGACAUUGUUACACUGUUCAUAAAAUGUAUUAGAAAUGAAAUGAAUAUAAAACGAGUGAAUUUGCAGUUCAAAUAAAAUUAUGCAAUGUUCUAUUCUGACACGCUCGCCUAGCGAAGCCUUGACUCACUAAGCGAGUAUAUCAGUACAUAACCCUGUUUGCUUUUUUUGUAAAAUCAAGCCAAUAUUCACCUACAAUCCAUAACUUCCUAAUUUCAGACACUGUAAUUAGUCCAUAUAUUUAGAAUGGAGAAUUGUUUGGGGAUUUAACCAUUCUCACACAAUAAAUUCCUUAAAUCCUAAUAUUGUCAUGCAAUUGAUAAAUUGGGGAACUAAUAUUCUAACUAAACUAAUGUUAUCAUGCAUUUAUUUUAUUUGGGAAAACUAAUUGAGCUAAACUAACUAGAGUUUAAGGCUCUAAGGGAACCCACCUGAAAUCGACGCUUGAACAGUACCACCGACAUUUCCGAAACUCGUCGAAAAGCGGAAUUUGCAACGAAACUACUCCAAACUCGUGUGCAGAUUUUUUUGCAUAAUACCAGCAUCAGAGUUCCAACUUCAACAAUACCUACCGGCCACAAUUCUCGUCCAUAAAUUAUGAAACCGCGAUCAUAACGACCGUAUUUGAGUUAGCUUUCCAUAGCAAUCAGAAUAAACUCAAACGAAGCUACAGAGAGAAAUAAUUUACCGUUUGAGUGCAGCCCAAUCCCAAACACUUUAUGCAUAAAUUCUGUGUUGAACCUUUCACUUUAAAAAUUCGUAGAGACCUCAUUUCUCCAUUACAUAUCACUAGGCAUUUUAGUGAGUGUACAUCCAGCAUACGAAUUUCCAUAAAUAUUUUCAAUCUUCUUGUUUCCUUGUUCCAACAACUGUCCUUACUGAUUCAUACAUCCUCAGUCAUCAUUCAAGCAUCCAAUGCUUCUUAAUCAAUUCUAUUUUCCUUUAUAAUGGUUCUGAAUUCCACUUUUAAUUCCAUGCUCAGCUCCAAUCAUUUAACCAAGCCUCAUUCACCACAAAACCACAUGUAAAUACCAAGAAUGGAAUUAAUGACAUUUUCUAACAUCGAAGAAUAUGCUGAUUCUGAAUGAAAGGAAAAGUGCUCUGAGUUUUCUUACCAAUAUUCAAGAAUGGUUUGACAAAGAUGGGUUCAUCAACAUGCAGAAGAACUGUUGCCCUGAGAGACCUUCCUGCUCGCUAGGUGAGCUGUUGCAGUAAGCAAAACGCAGCUUUUGUUGCCAUCCUCCACUUCCAGCAGCUGUAGAAUUAUGAAUUCAGUUUUGAAACUCCAAGCUUCAAGCUUUUCCCCAACUUCUCUAUCUCCAUGAACUUCUUAUUUUUGCCACUAAGUUCCCAACUUCCAAUUUGACCCCUUUUACUCAAACCUCUGAAUCUUUGAGGUUUUAAUCAAUACUUUGUUCCUUGCUCUAAUUGACCCAAGAAACUAAUGAGUGGAUUGCAUACAAGAAUCUUCCAUGUUUGGUUGUUGAAUAAACGGAAAGGUGGAGAUGAGGGUGAGAGGCGUGAAAGAGGGUGAGGGAGUCUUUGUUUCCUGAUUGCUCUUUCAGCAAAAUGAAAAUGAAAUUGAAGAGAUAUGACUUUGGUCAUGUGGUUCAUAAUCAAAGUGUGGGUCCCGCUUUUAUUCUUUCUUAGCAUUUAUUUAAUGAGAAAUACUUCCAUGGUCCCUUAUUAUUUCGUCUCAAUUUAGUCACACACACAUAAUUUAAAAAAAGUACAAAGAAAAAAUAAUUUAAUAAUAUAUAUUUUAAAAUAAUUAAAUUAUAUGUGUUAUUAUGUGUGUGACCAAAUUGUGAUCAAAUAAUAUGGGACCAUGCAAGUAUUUCUCUUAUUUAAUAACAUGUAGAACAUUUUAUUUGUGUGAUAGCUUCUACUCACUUAUUCCAAUUAGUCUCUAAUAAUUAUUUCUAAUUAAUAUUCUACUAUUAAUUAAUCCUUAUAUUAAAGUGUGCUGAUAUGUUAAAAGUGUACUGGUAUUUUAAUUAAAGUGUGCUGAUAUGUUAAAAGUGUGUUGUUAUGUUAAAAUUACAUUUAUCAAGUGUGAUGGUAUUAUCCAAAUACAGAUUCAUCACCAUUAGAGCAUCAUCAUCAUCAACAUCAAAUCUGUAAACAAAAUCUCAAUCUUGACAAAAAAGUAUGCAUUCUUCCAUUACCAGAUUAUAAUUUUUUCUUGUUAGCAAACCAAAAUAAUUACACUUAAUCAAACAUCAGUAUAAAAAAAAUAAUGGGAUUAAAUCCUUUUUUUGGAUUAAAUUGGAAAAAAUUGGGAUUAAAAAAAAACCCAUCACCAAAAACAACAGUAACAACACCACCUCCGACCCUCUCACCAUCGUCAUAUUCUUCACCAAGCACAGCCUCACCACCACCACCNNNNNNNCACCAUCAUCACCACUACCACCACCACCACCACAUCUCCACCGUCUCAAUCUAAACAUGCCGCUGGAGAAUGAGAUGAAUGAGGGAGUGUUUUGCUCGCCGGCGAGAAAGAAGGUGUUUGGCUGCACUGUCGCGAUGGCGCGAAGUUCAAAAGUUCUAAUGGGUUUGAUGCUGCGUUCAGAGGAGAAGUAGAGUUCGUUGAGGAACUCAAGGGGGCGAAGUCUACUGUGCUUCUCUCUUGAAGAUGCGAUGCAGAAAUUGCAAGGAAGGUGAAUGAGUAGAGACUGAAGAAGCAAGAUGAAAUGUAAGAGACAAGAGAGAAAAUAGAUAUGUUUAAAGAAUAGUGAUGAAUCUGGUGGUUUUGGUUUCAAGGGUGUUUUAAGAUUUGGGUUUUUUAUUUUUAGAUUUGAGAUUUUGUUUAAGGAUUUGAUGAUGAUGAUGAUGAUGCUAUAAUGGUGAUGAAUCUGUAUUUGGAUAAUACCAGCACACUUGAUAAAUGUAAUUUUAACAUACCAGCACAUUUUUAACGUACCAGCACACUUUAAUUAACAUAUCAGCACACUUUUGAUACAGUUUUAACAUACCAACACACUUUUAACAUACCAGCACACUUUUAACAUAAGGGUAUAAUUGGAAUAUUUUAAAAUAUGCUGGGGUAAAAAAAAUUUAGUAUUUAUUUAUUCUAUCUUCUAUCUAAUUUAAAAUCUAAUCGCCACAAAAAUAAUAAUAAUAAAACUACUACGUAUUAUCUUUUUUUGAAUCAAAAACUACUAUUAUCUGGUUUUUUUUUUUACUAUAACUACUAUUAUCUGAUAAGAAGGAUUCUUGUGAUCAUUUAUAGAUACAAAGUCACUAAUAUUAAUUGUGUUUUACAUCGAUGUAUUUUAUCAUAAUUUCUCAAUACAUUAAGACAGUAAGUUCAAUAAGCUAGCUUAUAAUUUAUUGGACUAGUUUAUAAGCUUGUUUGAUAAAAAUGUGAAGUGUUUGGUAACGAGCUUCUCUAACUAGCUUAUAACGUUUUUUGAUAUGCUACUUCAAGUAGCGUAUGAGCUUAUAGCAUAUAGCUUUUUACAUUUUAUUCCAUAUUUACCCUUUUUUAUUUUUUAUUUGUUUUUAAAAAAUUAUAAUAACUACCCACUAACACUUACCAAAAAAAAAACUACCCACUAACCAUGUACUUUUAUGUCAUUUUGUAUUUACAACAACUAAAUUUGUCAAACACUUUAAUUUUAUUCUAUUAGCUUUUUAACUAUAAGCUACUAGCUAUCAGCUAUAAGCUAACUUUUCAGCUAUAAGCUAGCUUAUCAGGUAUCGGCUAGCUUAUCAGCUAUCAGCUAGCUUAUAGCUUAUUUUUACCAAACAGAGUCUAAAAUGGUUAGACCAUUAAACCAUUAGUUAUUAGAUUAGAUUGAAACAAAUAUAUUUCAAUUUGAAAUAUAAUAAAAUUGAAAAAAAGAAAAUUGGAGUUCGUAUCAAAGGAUGGAGUAUGUUGCAGCACAUUAAAAUAUUAUUGCAAGUAGGAAGUUCUUGUUUGUUAUACCUAUUUUGAAACAAAUCAAAGUGAUGAUGCUCUUGCAUACAUAGAGUGUGAUCCAAUGUGAUAUUUUGACUUGUGUCCGAUAACGUCUGUUACUUAAGUAGCGAAAGAGUAAAACGAAAAACAUUUAGGACGUGCGAGUAAUUGGACGGCAAAAAUUAAUUCCCAAAUCAGUACACCUUUUUCGAUUUAAGUUUUAACCCAACUCCAUAUUAUGUGGACGUAAAAGCCCAACUUCAAAUCAUGGUGAUUUCUUCUUUCUUUUUUUUUCUCUCAAAAGAUAUCUAGAACGUUCUAUUUACCCCCAAAUAGAAAACCUAGAACUUUCUACACAUUUGGCGCGGAAACUACCAAACGGUUUUCGAAUUUUCCAGCAAGCACUAGUUUCCUCCUAUACUUGGUAUAAAUUCCUCAUCAGUAUAAUCUUCCAAAGCAUCAAACAAUUGAAAAUCGCAAUAUUCAAUAACAAUCAUCAAAUCUUUCAAAUCUUCAUUCAAGAAAUCACUUCGGAUAACAAAAUGUCGCUGAUUCCAAAUUUCUUCGGUGGUAGAAGGAGCAACGUCUUCGAUCCAUUCUCCCUUUCCGCUUCUUUUCCUGAACUGUCUCGUGAAAAUUCUGCAUUCGUCAGCACACGUGUGGAUUGGAAGGAGACUCCUGAAGCGCAUGUGUUCAAGGCCGAUCUUCCAGGGCUGAAGAAGGAGGAAGUGAAGGUAGAGAUUGAAGACGAUAGAGUUCUUCAGAUAAGUGGAGAAAGAAGCGUUGAGAAAGAAGAUAAGAACGAUCAAUGGCAUCGCGUGGAGCGUAGCAGUGGAAAGUUCUUGAGGAGAUUCAGAUUGCCAGAGAAUGCUAAAAUGGAUCAAGUUAAGGCGAAUAUGGAGAACGGUGUUCUGACUGUAACUGUUCCUAAAGAAGAAGUUAAGAAGCCUGAAGUCAAGACAAUUGACAUCUCUGGUUAGAUACUAAAUUGAGUUCGGUGUUCUUUGAUUUAUUCUAAUGGAUAUGUGUUUUGUUGUGUACUGUGAGUCUGUGAGUAUGAAAGAAAAAGAAUGAAAUCAUGUAAUGUGUUUUUGUAAUUUCCAGAAUCUUAUGUUAUGUGAAUAAAUUCCAGUUUGCAAUAAGUAUGAUAUUCCAUUUUUAAGUCAAAUUUAUCUCUCUGAUGGUAUAUGAAGUACUAGAAGAAUAUUAAGUUGGUAAUAUGAAUUUCAAAUUAUCUGAAUAAUGUUACCGAUGCAUUCAAUAAUAUAUUCAGAAUUCAGAUAGAGUAACCAAGUUGAUUAACAUUUUGAUAAUAUAAUGACUUAAUGAUACAACCUUAUAAUAUUAAGGAUUAACUUGCAUCUUAUACAACUUACAGAAUAGUAGUAGUUGAUAUGUGCAAAUGAAAAAUGCUACAAUUUUUCAGCAUCUCUGUUCACUUUCAAUUAACCUGUUGCCCUAAAGAAAGAAGGAACUGAGAAAAAUUGCUCAUUAAUUAUGGGAGAAGACAGUGGACCUAGAAAUGGCAUGUUUUGUGGAAGAAUUGGUAAUGGGGAUUCAAAGUUGAGCACCUUAAUCACUUUCUUUAUAGAUGGUCUUGACGUGUUAUUUGGAUUAGCACACCAAAGUCCAACUACUAGCAAACAUUCCAAUUCCUUCGCAUCAAAUUGCCCAUAUAGCUUUGGAUCUGCUGCUGCAAUGACAUUUUUAAAUCCAUAUAGCUCCCAAACCCACUCAACUAAUGAUACUUCACCCUUCAANNNNNNNNNNNNNNNNNNNNNNNNNNNNNNNNNNNNNNNNNNNNNNNNNNNNNNNNNNNNNNNNNNNNNNNNNNNNNNNNNNNNNNNNNNNNNNNNNNNNNNNNNNNNNNNNNNNNNNNNNNNNNNNNNNNNNNNNNNNNNNNNNNNNNNNNNNNNNNNNNNNNNNNNNNNNNNNNNNNNNNNNNNNNNNNNNNNNNNNNNNNNNNNNNNNNNNNNNNNNNNNNNNNNNNNNNNNNNNNNNNNNNNNNNNNNNNNNNNNNNNNNNNNNNNNNNNNNNNNNNNNNNNNNNNNNNNNNNNNNNNNNNNNNNNNNNNNNNNNNNNNNNNNNNNNNNNNNNNNNNNNNNNNNNNNNNNNNNNNNNNNNNNNNNNNNNNNNNNNNNNNNNNNNNNNNNNNNNNNCUGAAUUAGGUUCUUCUUUUCCUUUAUUCUUCUUCCACAAAAAAUAUACUAUUAACAUUGCUAAUAAACCCAAAGACAAACAUAAACAUCCAACUGCCAAUCCCUCCCACAAUUUAAUCUUGAUUAAGUUUCUUUUAUUCUCAUCUUCUUUUCCUGCUGAAGUAUAUAUGCCCACAUACUCUGGUAAAUGAUGCUCUCUUUGAUUGGUUUGUGAAAAGUUACGUGGCUCUUGCCCUUCACUCAAUCUGUAUCCAGUGGCAGAAACAUUCAGAUUAUUAUUUUUGGAACCGUAUUUAGAAAGAAGAAUAAUCCCUAAUCUAUCUUCUUGAUUUUCAAAUAGGAAAUUUGAGCUUGCAAUGAAGAACACAUAAUCAGCUCCAAAAAUACUGUAAUUUGAAUACAUUGUAGUCAAGUCAUUAACUUGAUUUAUGCUUCUGUAAUAAAGUUUGACAACUUUGGGAUUUCUGACUCGACCAACAUAAGAAGCCCUAUCUGGAUCACCAGGGUGAGAGUACCCGGUGAGUCAAAAAACAUAGUCAUAAUCUUCAAUAGUGGCAUGUCCAUAAGACUCUAGCGGCCAAUCACAAUUGUGACUAGACAUAGGGUAAUCAGAAGACACAAGGUGAGUAUGUGCAAGGACUGUGAGGAAAAGCAAAAUUGUUCCCCUUGCGUAACAGAAUAUACGAACCAUUUGUCUAUAGCUUUAGCAAUGUUAGAGUUGUUUAGUUUAUGUUUGAAGCUUAACACUUUCAUGUAGUACGUAUUUAUUUAAUGUUCGUUAUUUGUCAUUUAUAUAACUUCCUUUUCAUGUAGUAUGUAUUUUAAUCAUUACAUAGUAUAUGUCUUAGAUUUACUAGAUCCACAACUCUUGUCGAUAAACACUAUGCAAGAGGGAUAUGCUCCUUAGAAUUAACGGACAGCAACUUUUGAAGUUGUAAUAUUGUACUAAUAACUAGCUUAAAUACCUAAGUAGUUGAGCUUAAAUUUUUAAUAAAUUUAUUUUAAAGACGAAUCACUCAGAAGAAAUCGGAUUCGAUUUUUAGGCGUAAUAAUUUUUGAUCAAAUUGACACAAAAAAAAAGGAUCAAAUUUCACUUACCUUCUGCCGAAUUUUUUAUUAACAAGCUCUUUCUUGGCAAAUUAGAAAGUUGACACAAAGGUUGCAUAAAAAAAGAGUUGACACAAAGGGAGGAAAAACUACUACGUAGAACAGACAUGUUGGGUGGAUAACCAAAAUAUUGAGGAAAAAAUAAAAUAUACUCCUACUUUUCAUAUGGGUUUCAGGUUCUUCUUUUCAUAGUUGUUGAGAAUUGAGACUGGUUUGGGGAAAUCCAAACUUUAUGGGUUUGAGUUGGAAAAAUGUAAAACCCGUCCCCGCCUCAUCUCAUUGUCAUGCCUCCUAUAAUAGAAUAGAGACAUGAUAAAAUAUAUAAUAUAAUAAUAAUAAUAUAAUAUAAUAUAAACAUGAUAACAGUAUCCUAUUUCAUAACAACAGAAAGAAUGUCCUAAUUUUAAAUAAGUGGGAUCCUUGAAACUCAAUCUAUAUAUAAUAGCUUAUUAUGUCGAUAAUGAAUAAUAUAAUUAAAUCAAAUGUUAUAUAUAGAGUCUAAUCAAUAUAGAAACAACACAUACAAACAGGCAUACAAUUGUUAACCAAAUAGCUUAAAGGAAAAUAUAACCAUAAAUACCAUAAACAAAUAUAACCAUAAAUACCAUAAACAAAAUAUCAUGUGUCUCAUCACUAUAACCACAUAUACAAAGUAAAAGUUUUAUAAUUAAAGUCUAAGUAACCAUCCGCGCCUCCUAUCAUUUGACAUGGCGAUAAACAUUUCCCUCCAAUCAGGAUCCUUAAACUUUUCCAAGGCUUUCCCAAAGAUGUCAUCUGAAAUAUCUCUUAUAUCUUCAAGAGCAACCACACACUUAGUAAGAGAACAAUCUUCAGUUACAUGUGAAGAACCAGCCUCCACAAUCUUAGCCCGUGCUACAAGUGCAUCUCCCAUCUGAUGUGAUGUAGACUCUUUCAUGGAUGUAAGAUCUUUUACUUGAAUUUUUUGCUUCCCACUAUGAAUGAUCUGCUCCACUUGUAUAUUAUUGUCUGAACUAUCAUUAUCAACACGUGCAUUAUUCGCACUUUCAGUGUUCAAGUAUUGAUUAUUGAGCUCAUUUACUAUACUAUUAGGUUGGUCUUGGAUAGAUGAAUGAUGAAGUACGUCAGUUUCAUUAUUUUUGUUGAAUAUGAUUUCCAACAACUUAUAAUGGUCGCACCCUUUCUUUUGAAACUGAGAUGCUUUAUCAUGUGUCUAAGCAUAUGGUCAAUACAUUAACAACAUUAAAAUAUAAAAUCAAUGUAAAUCUACUAACAAAAACUAUAAAUAUUAAACCAUACCUUAAGAUAAUUUUGCCAGACCUCUUCACUAGCAGUAACAGUGUUGGUUUCUGCAUUCCACUGAAAUCCAGUGUUUUGCAAAAGUGAAUAGAACUCAUGAAACAUGGCUCGUAGCCCAUGCAUUUUUUCCUGGAGUUGUUCCUUCUUAUAGGAGCGCUUAGUUAUGGAAUUCAACCUAGUAGUCAUUGAGGUCCAUGUUCCUGUAAGAAACACACCAUUUGGCAUAUUUCCUUUUGUAACUUCAUCAACCAUAAUGUCAAUGAAAGCUUUAGUUACCAAGUCAGGCCAAAGCAUUGAAUCACUGUUGUCAACAUUAGUUGCCAUCUAUUAUGAGGAAAAAACAAGCAUUACAAUUAGAGCAGUAAAAAAAUGUAAUUAGAGCAGUAAUAUUAGGGGGUGCAAUGAGACGAAUUUUUUUUUGUAAAAUAAAAUGAUUUAUUAACAUUUUAUUUAAAUAAUAUUUAUUUGAUGGUUGAAUGAAUGGUAUAAUAUUUUUGUUUUGUAUUAUAAAAAAAUAAUUAGUUUUGUGGGUGCAUACACUCACCUUGUUCCUCAACACUAAUUUUCAUCUAUCUUAAAAACAAUAAUGAUAAUUAGAGCAGUGCAACAAAUUUAUUGAGACACAACCUGGAGGCAGCCAUGACAAUAAAGCAAAUCAUAUCCUAUAUCAAUUUAGACAGUUCACUUCAUAAACAGUGCUAUUAACAAAGAAGAUGAAUAGCAAUGUAUAUGUUUAUUAUAAAACUAACAGAUAACAAAAGAUUGCUAUCAAUAUCAGCACAAUGUACCAGUACAAACAUAUAGACAUAUAGUCACACCGUUACUCAGCAAUAUGUGAUAUUUAACAACAAAUAAAUGUUCCUAGAUUGUUACUUAAGCAACUACCAUUUCAAUGUCAUGCGUCUUAACUUCAAGCUAAGAAAAUAAAAUAGAAAGCAAGUGGUAAAAAGGAGCAGGGUGCAAUUUUUUUAUUUUAUUUUUAUAAGCGGAGCAGGGUGCAAUUGAAGGACGCAUGUCAUUAUAUAUGUCUCUGUUAUCAUUCUUGAACAAUUUCUACUUGAGUAAAUUGCAGACAAGGGUUCCUACAAUAAUCUAAUAUGCUAUCUCAUUCUAAAAUAUCACAGAAAUGGAAAUCUCCACGUGCAAACAACAAAUGGCACCCAGAAAUUUGGUAACAAAAACUCAAAGGGGAUCCAUUAAAAUGCAUGUGAGGAAUAAAUAUUACCUUUGCAGCAGAGGCAGGUGCGACGGCAGAAGCAGACUCAGCAGCAGAGGCAGGGGCGGCAGAGGAGGCAGGCGCGGCAAAUUUAGAACAAUAGUUGAUGUUCUUCACGCCCUUUACAGAUUCUUCAACCUGUUUAGUAAUAACCAAUCACAAACUCUUCUUAUAGUUGUUUCAUUUGAAAUUAUCAAAGCUCAGAAUCUCAAGAAAAAAAAAUACCACACUCAACUCGCUUAUGGUUUUUAAAUAACUACCUGCUUAAGAUUAAACGAACUCGGGCAACGUGUUGUGAUGUUAACUUUUGAUGCUGGUGAGUUUUGUAGCAAGAAGCCAACUAUUCCAUCAGGUAUGGGAGGUGGUUUCAAACCUGCUUUAAAUGCCUUUCUUAACUUAGCAGCUUCUUUGCGUGACUUGGCAGCCGCUUUCUUUAACAUGACCUCUUCCAUAUAAAAUGAUAAAAAUCCAGAAUAAAGUGGUAUCAGUUCUACUUCCAGUGACUUCAAGUUACACAAAGAAGGGAGCUUAACCUCAAACAGAUCAGGAACUAAAGAGAGAACCUAAGCAACGAUGAAUAAGGGUGAAUUUGGAUAAGUAUUAUGCAAGUCAAUUGAAUUUUAACAAAAUUUAAAAAUAACAAGAUAAAACAUGCAUCUUAAGAAGAAAGUAAAAAAUAAAGCUUGAAAACACAAGGUACCUGAAGAGUAGUUGAAGUGACUAUCAAUGAUUCUACACUGACAAGGUCUUGAAGCCAGGUUAAUAGAACCAAAGCAUACUCCACCGAAGUUGCAUAAUCUGGUGCAUCAAUAUUUACUUGUCUAACAGAAGAAAGUCCGUUCCCACAUAUUUUCUGAACAGGUAUACCAGUAAAAGUAAAGGUAAAAAGGCUUGGAGUAGAUAGCUUGAUUUGGGAAAAUUUGGAUGAAAAUCUAUGCAUAGUUAAAUCGACAAGUGUCUCACUUGAUAUGCUGAGGAUUUGAGCAUCCUUUACCUUACAACCACGAAUGACCAAACUAUUCAACUUGGUAAAGGCGGAAAAGGGCUCGGCACAGUCGUUUUCACUGCCGCAAAAGGUGAAAUAUGCUAGGUCUAAGCUGGUCAAUAAAGGCAAAUUCAAAGAUUUUGGAAAUAACGUUUUUGUAUAAGAUUUUGGANNNNNNNNNNNNNNNNNNNNNNNNNNNNNNNNNNNNNNNNNNNNNNNNNNNNNNNNNNNNNNNNNNNNNNNNNNNNNNNNNUCAGAAUGGGACAAACAUCAGCAGUGACAUCGAUUUCUAAUCGCUGGAUGUGGGUAUUAUGGGAACAAACAUAGUUUAAAAUCAUUGUGAGGAGCUUAGUCUCAAUAAUGCCCCUGCGCUGAAAUUCCAGAGCAUGCAGUGCCGUUGAGCUAUCACGAAGAGUCAAAAUCCGAGUCACGAAUGUGGCAAAAAGCUUCACAGUGGAAAAUGUUGAGGAAUGCAAUAUAAGGGUUGGAAUACGUUUCCAAAGAUGCCUCCAUCUCGUUGACAAAAUGCAAGUUUGAACGGCAUGUUUGGAAUUCAAAAAUGACAAAAUGUGAAGGAGAACACAAUCGGGUAAGUCACUCAGACUAUCUUCAUUAUCAUCACGCCUUGCUCUCUUCUUGGGCGGAAUCAUUAUUACCUCGUCCACUGAUUUAGACAUUUCAGUAAAGUCUGUAAGUACCUAAAAAAAAAAAGUAGUAUGUAAUUAUAUAUUUUACAUUAUAACAGAAUAAUAAGCAACUGUGAAAUUCUACACCGCACUUUCGAGUUUCAAGCCCAAACGAAUUGGUUUCUAUUGGAAUGGGAAAAAUUGAUUUACGAUUUGGGAAAAUAAUUGAGUAAGUUUGAGGCAGGAUAACGAUUUAGGGGGAAGAGAGAAAGAAAUACCUUGGCAAUUGAGCUGUAAGUUCUGAUUGCACGGGUGGUGGAUUGGAACACUGCCCUUAUAACUCACUGUAUAACUCACUGUAUAUCCAUGCUUUCUAGGGUUCAAUUUUUCUACCUUUGUGCGAGGGAAAACGUGGAGGAAACAAAUAGUUCAAUUUUUUGGGAAUAUAUAUAAACCCCAAAAUUGGCCUCCACUCCACCCCUCCUCCCUCUCCUAAUUUGGUUUUUAUCCAUUUAUUUACUACUCUUCUAUUGGUUGUCAUUCGAGAGAUAUCUAUACAACUUAAAAUAUUUUUGGUUUCAGAUUGGUCGCUUAAAGAUAUAUCCGUUAAUUAGUUUGGUCAUAUUCAGACCUUUUUUUUAUUUAAGAGACCAAUAUGAAACCAAAAGAAUUAUUUUACUAAUUAAGUCUAUCUAUCUAUAUCUAUAUUUAUAAAAAUUUAAAAAUAAAAAUUAAAAAAAAUUGGUAUGUACCAAAAAAAAAUUAAUAAAAAAAAUUUUUGGUGUGAACUUUUCAUAAUACCAACGAUAUUUUUGACUUUUUUUUAGCACAAAAAAUCUUUUAUUAACAAACUCACCAUAAUAUAAGUCAUUUUUUUUGUAGAAUUUUCAUAAUACCAACAAUAUUCUUGACUUUUUUUUAGCAUUAAAAAUUUUUUAUUAACAAACUCACCAUAAUAUAAGACAUUUUUUUUAACCGCAAAAAUCUUUAUUAACAAACUCACCAUAAACGAAGAUUAAUGGGACCGACUAAAAGUGUGUCUUGUUAAUUACUCAAUCCGUUAAAGUUUAUUUUUGCAUUAUACCCUAUUUUUUUAAUAUAUUAUACUCUAAUUUUAAUCCACUAAUAAAUUUAUAUUAUUUUCACACACUUUCUCUUUCAAAAAAAUAAAAAAAUUAUAUGAAGAAUUUUAGUAAAAAAAAAUAGAUACAAUAAAAGAUUAUAUAAAAUUUAGUCAAUAUAAAAUUAAAAAGAGAAUAUAAUAGAUAAAAUAUAACCUUAAAUAUAUGUUUUGUUUAGUUUUCAAAAUCAUGAACGAAUGCACACAAUUUCUAUAUAAAGAACUAAAAUGGCAUGGUUUUGUCUAUAUAUAACGUGACAAAAAACUAAUGUAACACGAAUAGUCAUUCCUUCAUGUUUGUCUUGCCGAUGAUUUGGUCAUUGGUAUAUUCAAUAAUUGAUUAAAGUUGAUAUGUUAAUCUAAAUCAAACAAACACUGCAACAAAAUUGAAAACAAACAAGCACCACUUCAAGACAUGAAAUCAAACAAUGCUGCAUUCAGAUGAUUAAAAAAUAAUUUAUAUAAAAAUUACUUAUUUAAAUUAAAGGAGAAAAAAAUACACGAGUGCUUCAGAGUAAAGAAAAAAAAAUCAUUUUCGACAUAUUUCUCAUACUUUGAUUAUUUAAUAUUUCACACUACAAUUACAAUUGCAUUCAAUUUUUAAAAUUUUUUUUUUUAGAUUUCUUAGCAAGACACUUCAAUUUAUUUAUAUUUGAAAUAUCAUCUAAUAUAACUUUUUUAAUACAAAAUAUAUAUUUUUUUGAGUAAAAAAAUAGAACUAUAUAAGUUUGUUUAUAUUUCAAAGAAGAGUAGAAUGAAUAGAAAAUAAAAUAAAAAGAGAGUAAAAAUAAUCUCUGAAAUGGUCUAAAUCACCAUAACCUCUCUAUUCAUCCGCAUCCACCAUCAUUCUCAUCUUCCUCUGUUCUCCCAACCCAACACUCACCGUCACAGUUGUUGCUUCUUCCGUCUACACUCCCCACAGAACCAAUGCUAUGCACCACCAACGCACUCGCAUUAUCAUUCUUCUUUCAUUCUUUUCCCUUUUCACGUUGAGAUAAUAAUAAUAAGAUCCGUUCUCGCCUCAGAUGCAGACUCUCCUUCCUUUGUCUUGCAUCAGAGGUUUCCUCUCAUGAAUCUCGCUCUCUCUCUCAUCAAUUUUCUCACCGAUUUCGGAUGCGGCUUCGUUCUCCUCGCCUGUCUCUCUCGCAUUCUCAACAUUCUCGGCAUGCUUUUGAUGUUAACUUUCUGUUACAGGAUUCUUCACUUUGGUUGGCGUUUAAAGGGUACCCUACGUUUCAUUUGUGAUUUUGGUGGCGCGCCCAGAAUUCGUUUCUCUUUGGAAAACAUUUUCUUACAAGUUUCUAAAAUAAAGAUUCCAUCUUUGGAAAAUGGGUCUGUCCCAAAUGCGAAUUCUUUGAACAAAAAGAAUGUCAAUGUUUCCAGAGAGAAAGGGAAAGAUAGUUUGGAAGAUGUGUCGGAAGGAAAAGAUGAUAGUGAAUUGGAGGGUCGAGAUNNNNNNNNNNNNNNNNNNNNNNNNNNNNNNNNNNNNNNNNNNNNUGAGAAAGUUGAUAAAGAUUCAGCGUAAGAAAGCCAAUGUAGCUGUUGCGGAGCUUGAACAGGAACAAACCGCGGCUUCUUCGUCUGCGGAGGAGGCAAUGGCGAUGAUUCAUCGGCUUCAGAAUGAGAAGAGUGCGGCUGAAAUUCAAGCCAAUCAAUUCCGUAGAAUGGCUGAGCAGAAGUUAGAGUAUGAUGAUGAGGUGAUUGAGUCUUUGCAAUGGGCGGUCACACGGCAUGAAUCUCAUAGUAGUGUGUUGGAAGAGCAGUUGAGGGUUUAUAGGGAAGAACUCAUGCAAUAUAUUGGGGAGGAUGAGAUAAANNNNNNNNNNNGAUAGGAUUGUUAAGAAUCGUGAAGCGCGUGAGAAUAAAGCAAUUGAGAUUGAAGCAGUCGAGGAUGAAGUAGUUAGCUCUUCUGAAGAUGAGAAUGAAGCGGUUGAGAAUGAAGCAGUUGAUCAGAAUGAAACGGUCCAGGAUGAAAUAGUUAACUCUUCUGAAGAUGAGAAUGAAGCGGUUGAGAAUGAAGCAGUCGAGGAUGAAGUAGUUAAGUCUUUUGAAGAUAAGAAUGAAGCGGUUGAGAAUGAAGCAGUUGAUGAGAAUGAAGUGAUCGAGAAUAAAGCAGAUAACUCUUCUGAAGAUAAGAAUGAAGCAGUCGAGGAUGAAGUAGUUAACUCUUCUGAAGAUGAGAAUGAAGCGGCUGAGAAUGAAGCAGUUGAUGCGAAUGAAGUGGUCGAGGAUGAAGUAGUUAACUCUUCUGAAGAUAAGAAUGAAGCGGUUGAGAAUGAAGUGAUCGAGAAUAAAGCAGAUAACUCUUCUGAAGAUAAGAAUGAAGCGGUCGAGGAUGAAGUAGUUAACUCUUCUGAAGAUAAGAAUGAAGCGGUUGAGAAUAAAGCAGUUGAUAAGGAUGAAGUGAUUGAGAAUAAAGCAGAUAACUCUUCUGAAGAUAAGAAUGAAGCAGUCGAGGAUGAAGUAGUUAACUCUUCUGAAGAUAAGAAUGAAGAGGUUGAGAAUGAAGCAAUUGAGAAGAAUGAAGUGAUCGAGAAUAAAGCAGAUAACUCUUCUGAAGAUAAGAAUGAAGCAGUCGAGGAUGAAGUAGUUAACUCUUCUGAAGAUAAGAAUGAAGCCGUUGAGAAUGAAGCAAUUGAGAAGAAUGAAGUGAUCGAGAAUAAAGCAGAUAACUCUUCUGAAGAUAAGAAUGAAGCAGUCGAGGAUGAAGUCGUUAACUCUUCUGAAGAUAAGAAUGAAGCGGUUGAGAAUAAAGCAGUUGAUAAGGAUGAAGAGGUCGAGGAUGAAAUAGUUAACUCUUCUGAAGAUAGGAAUGAAGUGGUUGAGAAUGAAGCAGUUGAUAAGAAUGAAGCGGUCGAGGAUGAAGUAGUUAACUCUUCUGAAGAUAGGAAUGAAGCGGUUGAGAAUGAAGCAGUUGAUAAGAAUGAAGUGAUCGAGGAUAAAGUAGAUAACUCUUCUGAAGAUAGGAAUGAAGCGGUUGAGAAUGAAGCAGUUGAUAAGAAUGAAGUAGUUAUCUCUUCUGAAACCGGAUCACAGAUCUUGUAAGUUCCCACAGUUGUGUUAUAUAUACAAAGAAAUGCUUUUACUGGACUUUUUUCUUCUGACCUGUUUUGGUGUAGUGUAAAUUGUAUUAAUCCAUAAUUUUAGUAUUAAUAAUGUUGAGCACAAUUGUAUAUAUACAUUGAUUGAUUUUUUGGCAUGCUAGAUUAGAUUCCACUUUCAGGUUUUAUUAGUGUAACUUUGUGAAUGCAUUUCAUGGAAUGGAACAUUUCAAUGGUGUAGGUUGGUAAUUCUUACCAUUUACUAUGCAGUGGGGUGAGCACAAUGGGCUAGGGUUAGUCUCUUAACUUUCAGGUUUAUUAGCCUGUGUUUGGUUUGGCGGUUAAAUACAUUUUCUCGUGUCUCAAUGUAAACACACUGAAAAUUAGGAAACACAUGGUGAUGGGCAAUCCCCGGUAAAAAUUAGUAUUGUUUUGUUGAAUGAAUUCCGGUCACAAGGACCCGGUUCAGAUUCUUGAAGGCUAGGAUAUGCAGUUGUAAAGUAAUGUACAGCUGUUUAGCCUCAAGGUUUAGGUUUGCUUUUAAUUGUAGAAUAACUUUGUUGAAUGAAAUGAAUUCGAUCCAAACACAUAUUACAAGGGUUAUUUACAACAUGCAUAUUAAGUAGGCUUUAUUUUUCAGGUAUUCUUGUGUAAUUUUAUAGUAAUGAAUUUUGUUGGAACAGAUAAAUCAAAAUGUGUCUGUUAAUAAAACCUCGGUCAUUUUAUUUUGUUUAGUUUCUUGGUUAUAAAUGGAAGUGGUUUUUGGUUGAGUGGAAGUUAUUUUUCUGCCACUUCUAUCUUUCUUUUCUUUGCUUUUGAUAAUUUUGUGUUAUAAAGCUCAUUAUGGUAUUAGAGAGCAUUCUUCCUUCUCACACUAAACUAGAAUUCUAGAACUGCACUACUAGGGCCCCUUUCCCCUAGGAACCAGAGGGUUAUAAACCAAAAAAAAAAAAGAAUUCUAGGACUGCAUGCAUAAUAACCUUUCUGUUAGGAUCAACUGUGUUAUUUUCAUACUCUUCCUACUUGCACUUAUGCGGCAAAGUGUUAUGGUAAUUACUAAUACUUCAAAGAUUGUUCAACAGUGGUGAGAAAAUGUUUCUGUUCUUUGUUUUCCAUAGGGAUUAAAUGAAUAUUAUGCAUCUAUAUGCUCAGAAAUCCACUUCUUAACGAAGUCUUUUAAAUAGCUCUCUACUAGGAUAAAGAAAUCAAUAAUCUCUCAAUAACACUUGCACAUGAGGCUACAUAAGUUUCAUAAUCCCCUUUGUUUGGAUUGAUGGACGGCAAGUUCAGUGUCAAACUAAUACAGUCCUAAUCUCAAUCCUCAAUGCUGAUACCUACAUCACCCACAAGAACUUCUGUAUAAAAACAUAUUACAUGGUGGAGUUAUUGUAAGGCUUGUCAAGUGAACUAGUUAGGAAUUUGUCAAGUUAGACGUGAUUUUCUAGCUUGUAAUUUAUUCUAAGAUUAUUUGGAAAGUUUUAAUUAGAUCCUUAAACUAAAAACAUUUCAAAACUUAUGCAUAGAAAUUGAUACGUUGCUCUUUGCAUUUGCAUCUUAUGGGAUUGAAGAUUUGUACAUGUUGGGGCCUUUUGCGAAUGAUAGUGAAAUUUUUAAAGAAAACAAAGAAACCAAACUCCACAGUAAACACCGUAUGUUUGUUGUGAACUUGUGAGUUUCGUUUAUUUUUCUAACUAUUCUCUUAGAUCAUGAGAGUUUCAUCUAGUGCCAAAGCUUGCCCAUGAGAGCUUGAUAAAACUUACAAAAAUUUAGCAGAGAAUUUAGUAGGAUCGCUGCUAUAUUAGUUAGAAAUUCUGGUGUUCAGAGAAUUUUUUGUCUUUUUUUUUGCAAAAAGGUGCAGAAAGGAGCACCUUUAAAGUUGAUUAACUAAAAAAAAAGAUAGAACAAAAAGAGAGAAGGGGGACAUAAACCAAAACCUUCUCAAAAUGAAGAGAAUCUAUAGUUUGGUAAACCAAACUUGUUUCUAUGAAAUUGCUCUCUAAUUUCCAAAGGCAGAUCAUUCCACCAGAUGGAAUUGACAAUAGUUAACCCUAUGCUAGCUAGGAUAUCAGCACAAUGGUUCCCUUCUCUAUAGAUAUGGGAGACCAUAAAAUUCAUAUUUCUAGUCAAAUAUAAACAAUUACUCCACCUAUUCCUUAAGGACCAAGGGACGUUGGAUAUAGACUUAAAAGCUAAAAUAACUAACUGAGAAUCAGACUCGAGCCACAGGUUGUACCAUUGUCUUGAAAAAGCAAUCUCAAUAGCCUUCAUUGCACCAACUAAUUCAGCAUAUAAAGCAUUAUUAACACCCAAGUUUUCUGCAAAAGCACCAAGAAACUCGGCUGAACUGUUUCGAAAGAGACCACCGCAAGAAGCUAAACCUGGAGUGCCUAAAGCAGCUCCAUCUGAAUUACACUUCACCCAAAAAUGAGUAGGAGGUUGCCAUAUAAUAUCUUUAAUGGUUGGAGCUUUAGGAGGAUGAAGAUGAACCUUGAAAGCUUUUAGAAUCAUGAAGUCCUGCAUAGAGGAACGAUAAACCAACUUUGUUCUAUUACCGGUCAAUGAGCUACAAGAAAUUAUCCAAGCAAUAGCCGACUUCCAAGGAAUGAUUUUGUCAUUAAACCGACCUUGAUUCCUUGCGUACCAAAUUGCAUUCAAAAUGUUGAUCAUUGCAGAUUUGAUAACAAUACUACAUUGAGGAGUCCAAUUCCUAUCACCAAAAAGACCAAAUAUCUGAUAAAGAUGAAAAAGUGAAACUAGUGUUGACUAUGUUGGUGAACCAGUUCCAAAUUCUAUUUGCAUAUAUACAAUCAAAGAACAAAUGAGGAAUAGACUCAGCAUAACUAGAACAAAGAGUACACAUAGAAGGUAAAUUGAAGUCUUUUUCUGUCAUCUUGUCAUCAGUAGCAAUUUUAUCAUGCAUCAAUCUCCAAACAAAUAAUGAUUUGGAAUGAGGUAUGUCUUUAGACCAAAUCGACUUAGCCCAACCAAGAUUGUUACCAACAGGAGCUUUAUACAAAAAAGCAUCUUUAAGUGAGAGCUCACCAGAAGUUGAUUCUUUCCACAAUAAUUUAUCCAUUUUGUCUUCAAUUAGAAUGGUAACUUUUUGUACAAUUUGCCUAAGAUUAGGAAACGCUAGCUCUAAAUCAAUAGGCAAAUUCCAUUGAUAAUUAAAGAUGAAGUCACUAAUUGGAGCAUUGAUGGAAGAGUGUAAAUGAAGUGGAAUUUGCAGUAAAUGAACAAGAGGCCUACCACACCAAUCAUCAUUCCAAAAAUUCACUUUCUCACCCUUACCAAUAAGCCAAACAGAAUUCUCAACUACAAAAAUAAAUUCAUCUUUGAUUCCACUCCAAAUAGAAGAAAAAAUAUGAUGUGAGAUAGGCUUACCUUUUCUUAAAAUUCUGCUUUUGAGGAUGAGAGCCCAAUGUUCCUCUGAAUUUAUUAACUCCCAGCACAAUUUUAGAUUUGUAGCAUCAUUCAAACUAGACAUUGAUCUAAUUCCAAGACCACCCUCAGAAAUAGGUCUGCAAACUUUAUUCCAAGAUACAUUGACUAGUUUCCAUUUGUUUAUAUCUCCACUCCAUAUGAAAUUUCUGAUCCAACCUUCCACAGUUUUAAUCAGAUUGACUGUCCAAGAAUAAAUAGACAUUGUGUGAUUAAGCAUACCAUAAACCACUGACUGGACUAGCUGCACUCUCCCAGCAAUGGAUAAGAGUGAUGCCUUCCAAGCAGAUAAUUUAGCCUUAACAUUGUCAGCAAUAGGUUGAAAAUGGCAUGACUUAGGCUUACCCUUAAAAAUAGGCACACCUAGAUAAAUGAAAGGCAAAAUUCCAAAAUUGAAACCAAGAAAACUCGCAAUAAUGUUGAGCCUAGCAAGAGGAAUAGCUCCUGAGUAUAAAUUGUUGACUUGUUGACAUUAAUUAUCUGACCAGAAGAUAAAGCAUAUCUUGUAAAGAGAUUUUUUAAAGCAUUCAAACAAGAAAUUUUCCCUUUGCAAAAAACCAUGAUGUCAUCCGCAUAUAGAAUAUGAGAUGGAAUAUUGAUUGACCUUGUUCAUUUGAUGAGAUCCACCUUGCCAUCCUCCACCAACUUAGAGAUGCCUCUGCUCAGAACUCCCUCCGCUAAACAAAAGAGAAGAGGUGAUAAAGGGUCACCUUGUCUCACCCGCCCUCUUACAAGGGAAAUAACCAUGUUGCUUACCAUUAACUGAAAUUGAUAAUGUGGCUGAUUUUAAAAUAACAUCAAUCCAGUCACAAAAUUUUGAGUUAAAACCAAAGGAUUUGAGCACUCUCAACAAAAAAACUCCACUCAAGAGUGUCGAAAGCCUUAGAGAUGUCUAUUUUCAUGGCCAAGUUAUCUCCAAAAGAUUUGUUAUGCAAAAGAUUCACAGCUUCAGAAGCCAAACAAAUACAGUCUUUAAUCUGUCUACCAUUAAUGAAGCCCCUUUGUUCUUUAGAAAUAAUGGUAGGCAUGAUUUGAGCUAGCCUAUCUGCCAAGAUCUUUGAAAUAAUUUUGAACUUAAAAUUGGCUAAUGCAAUAGGCCUAUAAUGAUCCACCGAAUCUGCACUUGGAAUUUUAGGAAUGAGAACAAUUGUAUUGGCNNNNNNNNNNNNNNNNNNNNNNNNNNNNNNNNNNNNNNNNNNNNNNNNNNNNNNNNNNNNNNNNNNNNNNNNNNNNNNUUGAACAAGACGUCAGCAUAGAAAUUUGAUAGGAACUAAUCAUAAAAUUUUCCAAAUAUACAAUAAUUUAGUGAUCUCAUUCAUAAAAUGGCGCACUCAUUGAAACUAGGAAUCAAUUAUCAGUUGCUGCAUGAGGCGAUCAUUGAAUUUGAAGGUGUUGUCUUACUUUCAUUCUAAGCUUUUUAUUUAGAUUCAUAUUGUUCCGUUGAAGAUGUCUAUAUUUGCUUGGAGAUUAUUCAACAAUAGAUGAUCAUCUAAAGAAUAAUUAACGUUGUCGUGACAUUUUAAAUAUUGAUUCCCAAGAUUUGUGUUUUUGAAUGUAACGUGAUGGAAAUUGUUAAUCACUUAUUUUUUUUAUUGCUCUUUUAUGGGCGUGUGUUGUAUGAUAUAUGUAUGGUUUAAAGACUACCUUAAACCAUGCAGAUAAUGCCAAGCCACAGGGCUCAUCCCCGGAAUUGGAUCUGGUGCAGUCGUUUUUCCAUACAGUCGUUUAAUAGCCGUUCGAUCACGAUCGGACGGUUUAAACAAACACAGUUAAUAUAUAAUAGUUUAAAUCAUAACCGUCUGAUCUUGAUCGAACUACUAUAGAUGAAUACAAUAUAAAUAUGCAUACACACAAUUAUGUUAUGAAAAUUCUUUAUGCGUCCUUGUUGCAACAUAAAAUUGGUUCUUAUCCAUUAGUCAAAAAAAAAAAAAAGGGUUCUUAUCCUACUGUUUUUUNNNNNNNNNNNNNNNNNNNNNNNAUAUUAUCCUCUACCAUUUCAUACGUGUGCAUGUUAUUACGUUACUUGAGUUAUGGGCUAGUCAUUGUUAUUUAUUUUUUUAUUAGGGUGCAUGUUAAUUAUUCUCUUUAUUUGGUAAAAAAUAAGUUAGUUAAUAGCGGAUAAAUUUAUAAUGAAUAACUUAUAAGUUAGUUUUUAACUUAUAGUGAAUAAUUAAGUUAACUGAUUUAAUUUAUAGUGUUUGGUAAAAUUAGCGGUUGAACUAGCUUAUAUAAGUAUAAAAUGCUUUUUGUCAAAAAAAGAGUAUGAAAUGAUAUAAAAAAAUGAUAUGUUUAAUUAAUAUUUAAAGUAAGAUGGUAGGGUAAAAUUGGAAGAACAAUUAGUAUGUUAUAAACUUAUAAACUACUUGAAAUAACGUUUGAAAAAUAAGCUAUUAAUUAGUAAAAUAAGCUAUAAGCUCAAAAUCUAACAUUACCAAAUAGAGCCCAUUGAUCAAUAAGUUAAAUUUUUNNNNNNNNNNNNNNNNNNNNNNNNNNNNNNNNNNNNNNNNNNNNNNNNNNNNNNNNNNNNNNNNNNNNNNNNNNNNNNNNNNNNNNNNNNNNNNNNNNNNNNNNNNNNNNNNNNNNNNNNNNNNNNNUGCCCUGUCAAUUGAUUUGUCCUUUCAUUCAUUUCUUAUGUAAUAAGUACCGAAACAACUUCGGAUUAUGAUUAGUUGAUUACACUGAGUGUAUGCUGACUCAGUUUCUCGUCUUUGCUUCCAAACUCUAUCAUAACAUCCUUAAUUUCUUCAAACUCAAUUCCUAGUACCACUCCACCAUACGAGGAUGUUGCAGCUUUCCAUUCAACGAGGUUAGUGUACAAAUCACUUCUCUUUCUUACACCCAGAUAGAUGAUGAUCGAUCAAAUACUUGAAAUUUUGAUUUUGAUUAAGAAAAAUUUGAUUUUUUUUAUUGGGUUUGCAGCAAAUAAGUUGAAGAUUUUGAUGCCUCAGAUCUCUGCUUUGGGAAGUUACCAUUUCUCAACAGCGGCUCAAUCAUCUUCCACUAAACCCAAUGCUCCGGUAAGUUCAACAUUCAUGUGAUUCUUUUUUCUCAUUCAUUUUAUUGUUUUUCUUCUUGUUUAUAGCAAAUUAAUUCAUAAAACUAUAUGUUAGAUCAUAAUUUGUUAUUAAGGUGUUUUACUAUUUGCUUUUGAUCAUGAUUUUAUUUUAUAUUAUAAAAAAUUUCAGGGUCGAAAUUGACAAUUACAUAAUUCAGUUAUGCAUGCUAUCAGAAUCAUAGCCAUAAGCAUUUUAAUGAGUUUUUGUUGAUCUUCUUUUGAUUGUGUUCUAUCAGAGAGUUCCAAAUCUUAUUGGGGGAAGGUUUCUUGAGUCAAAAUCAUCAUCUUUCAUCGAUGUUAUAAACCCGGUAAGUGAUUUUUCUUUUAUACCGAGUUUAUUGUUGUAUCUCUUUAUUUUUAUUUUUUUGAUGUUUUGAGAAAUGUAGACUUCUAAUAUUUCUCGAAUCUGAUCAUAGGCAACACAAGAAGUUGUUUCACAAGUUCCAUUGACUACAGAUGAAGAGUUUAAAGCUGCUGUAUCUGCAGCAAAGAAGGCAUUUCCAUCAUGGCGUAACACUCCAGUUACGACACGCCAGCGUGUUAUGUUGAAAUUUCAGGAGCUCAUUCGCAGAGAUAUGGUGAGCACUUCAUACCAUUCUAGAAGAUGUGUUGCAUUAUUUUGUGAUCAUAGACACUCAUGCCAUCAUGCUUACUAUUAAAAGUUUUCAUCAUAUUUCAACUUUGUAAUUGUUUUAGGAUAAACUUGCUCUUAAUGUGACCACCGAACAAGGAAAGACGCUGAAGGAUGCACAAGGAGAUGUAUUUCGUGGUUUAGGUUGGUCUUUAUAAUACGUUGCUUGAUAACAUUUUGUAGUGAGAUCGUAAUUAUGCUCAUAAUUUUGGAAAUGUGAUUCCUUGAAUACUUAAAUUUAUAUCAUGUAGAGGUGGUGGAACAUGCCUGUGGGAUGGGAACUCUACAAAUGGGGGAGUAUGUUUCAAAUGUAUCACAUGGUGUCGACACAUACAGCGUCAGAGAACCAAUUGGUGUGUGUGCUGGUAUUUGCCCUUUCAACUUUCCUGCAAUGAUUCCCUUGUGGGUAAGCAGUUUUCUUCCUUUGGGGUUGGCCGUUGAAUUGAUAUUUUUCCUUUUGUAAUUUACCUUUACCUUUAUUUGUGGUCAUAUCAGCAUGCAUGAAAUAGAGAAAGUCUACUUUAUAGAAUAAUCCAGAAACAUUUAGCUAGAACAACUUUGGCUUGUCUCUAUCCAUAUUAUGUUAUUUCUCACAGGAAUGUGUUGUAUUGUAUUGGACAUAUAAUAAAUUCUGAAUGCAUAUCAUUUGCAGAUGUUCCCUGUGGCUGUUACCUGUGGCAAUACCUUUGUUUUAAAACCAUCGGAGAAAGACCCAGGUGAUGAUUCCUACUGAUUUUAUCAUCCCUUGGUGUAGAGAAAUACAUUUGUUUGUAGUUGGAUGUUAUAUCGUUACUCCCAAUCACCCUGUGGAAUAAGGCUCGGUUGAUAUUUGAAUUUGGUUUUUCUCCAGGUGCUUCUUUAAUGCUUGCAGAAUUGGCAUUGGAGGCUGGUUUGCCCGAGGGUGUCUUAAAUGUGGUUCAUGGAACCCAUGUAUGCCAUUACUCCUUUUUUAAUUUAACUUUUGUUGUUCACCUUGUCACUAUAUGAUGUAUUAAGAAAGAAAUAAUUGUACUUUGUUUUUCUUGUGGUUUGAUGUCCUUUAUUAUACAAUUGGUGACAGGAUAUUGUGAAUGCCAUUUGUGAUGAUGACGAUAUCAAAGCCAUAUCAUUUGUUGGUUCUAAUGUUGUAAGUAAUCUAAUACCUGGUUUUUUCACUCCGUUGAUUUUUUGUGAUCUUAUAAUCUAUUUUCUCUCUAGUGUAUACAUUUAUUUGAUGUUCUUAUUUGUAUUAAAGGCUGGAAUGCACAUAUAUUCAAGAGCAGCAGCUAAAGGAAAACGUGUUCAGGUAGGUGCAUUUUGUUUUUCCUCCUUUUAGUGAAAUUUUUGGUCCAUGUAAUGAUAUCAAGUUUGGCAAUUAAUAAACAACUGUGGUUUGCAGUCUAAUAUGGGGGCCAAAAAUCAUGCAAUAGUCAUGCCAGAUGCAAAUGUCGAUGCUACUAUAAAUGCUUUAAUUGCUGCUGGUUUUGGAGCUGCUGGACAGAGGUGCAUGGCUCUCAGCACAGUUGUUUUUGUAGGAGGCUCACAACAAUGGUAUCAUACGACAUUCUGUUUUGACUGGUUUCUGUUUAUCAGGACUUCUUGUUGGCUUUUUUUUUUGCUUGAGCAAUUUAAAGCUCCUCCCAAAUGUUGAGUUUUUGCAUUUUUGGAUAAUCACAAGUGGUGAAUAUUUUAUCGUAAUUUCCAUAUCAGUAUAAACAAUAAGUUAUGUUCUUCCAUUUCAAAAAAACAAACUCAAAAGAUUGUCUAGAGAAAAUCGCGUUCAGUAUUUCAAAAUUGGACUACCUUGUUUGUAAUGCAGGUGUCUUAGUGUGCAGUUUCAUUGAUUUUAACUUUCUUAUCUUUUGGCCUAGAAAAUUUGAUUUUGAUUAUGAACUUGAAGCUUUUAAAUAAUUGCACCCUCAACNNNNNNNNNNNNNNNNNNNNNNNNNNNNNNNNNNNNNNNNNNNNNNNNNNNNNNNNNNNNNNNNNNNNNNNNNNNNNNNNNNNNNNNNNNNNNNNNNNNNNNNNNNNNNNNNNNNNNNNNNNNNNNNNNNNNNNNNNNNNNNNNNNNNNNNNNNNNNNNNNNNNNNNNNNNNNNNNNNNNNNNNNNNNNNNNNNNNNNNNNNNNNNNNNNNNNNNNNNNNNNNNNNNNNNNNNNNNNNNNNNNNNNNNNNNNNNNNNNNNNNNNNNNNNNNNNNNNNNNNNNNNNNNNNNNNNNNNNNNNNNNNNNNNNNNNNNNNNNGAGAUAAUCGCGUUCAGUAUUUCAAAAUUGGACUACCUUGUUUGUAAUGCAGGUGUCUUAGUGUGUAGUUAGUUUCAUUGAUUUUAACUUUCUUAUCUUUUGGCCUAGAAAAUUUGAUUUUGAUUAUGAACUUGAAGUUUUUAAAUAAUUGCACCCCUCAACAAUAUUUGUGUAGGGAAGCUAAAAUCAUAGAACGUGCCAAAGCUCUUAAAGUAAAUGCAGGAACUGAACCUGAUACAGAUCUUGGUCCGGUUAUCAGCAAACAGGUUAGCUUAUGAUUCUUCAUUUACUUUUUCCAUGGUGGAUUUUAGCUAAAAAUUUCAAUAACAAAUAACAAAUCUCCAGUGUGUCAUUCGAGAAGUACUGCUAUGGCUAUUUGGCUAUUUAUGUUUCCUAAAUAUUCUUCCUGUCUUCACAGGCAAAGGAGCGAGUGAAAACAUUAGUUCAAUCUGGGGUUGAAAGUGGUGCCAAACUACUUCUUGAUGGAAGGAAUAUAGUGGUAGUUAUUACACCCUUAACUGCCUUUUUCAACUGUCUUAUUAUAUUCUUUUUAAGCAUUUUAUUGCUUACCAUUUGAUUCUUUUUAAGCUCAACUUCUUGUGAACUGAAAAAUACUGGGAAGAUAAAUUAAAACUUUGAAUGCACAUAUCUCUUUUUAAUAACCUUGUUAAAGUUCCAAGGUUGUCACGCUAAAUAGCAUAUAUGAAGCAAAAAUACCCAAAUGCAUUAAAUAAAUGGUUUUGCGUAACUCUUAAAAGAUUGCUUAUCAAUUCAUACGUGCAUGAUAAAUAGGUCCCAGGAUAUGAAUCUGGCAAUUUUGUCGGGCCAACCAUCUUAUCAAAUAUCAGUACCGAUAUGGAGUGCUACAAGGUAUUUUAUUACCAAUCUCCAAUCUCAAUGUGUCUAAUAAAAGCUUUUCUUCCGAAUAGAGAGCUGAUGUUUUAUAUUGAACUUACUAUCUUUCACAUUAUACACACAGGAGGAAAUUUUUGGCCCAGUUCUUCUUUUCAUGGAGGUGUGUCAGUUUAUUUCAUCGUUGGAGUUAGAAUCUAUAACAUUUUCACAAAAAUAUAGUUUUGGGAAAAUAUUUCCUGAUUAGAAACAAUUAACUCCUUGAUGGUUAAUUAUUUCUAUGCUGAUUUUUUUUCCACCUCAGACACAUUUAUCUUUCUUUUUUCGUUGCAUUUUGACUAUGCUAAUACAGUGUUUUUCUGUUUUGUUUUUAUCUUCAGGCUGAUAGCUUGGAAGAGGCUAUAGACAUUAUCAACAAAAACAAGUAUUUAUUUAACAAGCCGCAGUUGUCAUUGCCUUUUGUUAAACUGCUAUAUAUUUAUUUCUUAUUACUCUAACCUUUCCAACAGGUAUGGAAACGGUGCUUCUAUAUUUACUACUUCUGGCGUUGCUGCAAGGAAAUUUCAGACCGAGAUUGAGGCAGGGCAGGUAAAUAUUAUAUUUACUAUUUCUUGGAUAUUAAUAAAUAAUGCUGAUAAAUUUCAACCAGUAUAUGCAUUAGAUGUUAUUUAUCAACCAAUCAUAUUGCACUUUAACAUGGACAAGAUUCUGUCGCCAAAUAGAAAAAUGUAUUAUAUAGUUAAGUGAUAGUGAUACUGAUUAUGGAUCUUGAACCAGGUUGGGAUCAAUGUUCCUAUUCCAGUUCCUUUGCCAUUUUUCUCAUUUACCGGUAACAAGGCAUCAUUUGCUGGCGAUCUCAAUUUCUACGGUAUUGUCGUUUCUCCAAAAUCUGGCUCGUCUGCAAUCAACCAUUUAUCACUUAUAGUGUAAAAGUGUUUGAUUUGAACUUGAUAUUAUGCAUUUUUGAAUUGCAGGCAAGGCAGGGGUUAACUUUUUUACACAGAUCAAAACAAUAACUCAACAGUGGAAGGAUUCGGUAGGCGGUAGCAAGGUUAACUUGGCAAUGCCAACCUCUCAAAAAUCUUGAUUGCCAGAGAGUCAUGUGUAUAAUUUUUUUCUUUUUUUGGAAGCUUUGUACUCUUCAAUAAAAUGUCAUAGUUCCAUCUCUUGUUUGUACAUUUUCCUUAUUUAUUUUUUUCUGCUUUUGAUCCCCAAAUCCUUCUCUUGUGUCCAUGUGACUAUUAUUUUCUAAAAUGAGGGUUUAUAUUUUAGGAGACGAAUCCAUUGAUAUUAUAUCCAUCCACAUAAAAUUGUUCUAUAAACUGCUUCAGGUUUACCUUGAAAGCUGACCUAAAAAUAACUAAACUUGAAAACUUUUAGAAGAUAGCAUUUUCUAAAUUCACUUUUAAAAUAUACUAUUAUCAGACAUAACUCAACUUUUACUUAAUCUCUUUUUAAAUUUAAUAAUUUUAAUGUUAACACAUCUUGUGCUAAAGAGAUUUUUUAUAUAUUUAUCUCAUUUUGGCUUUUUCAAAAAAAUAAUUUUAAUGUUAAUUUUAACAAAAUUAAUUCUACAAAAAUCUCAAACAAAAACAACUAAUUGCAAUGACUGACAUUUAUCACAGUGAAUCAACAUAGACCAUAUAUUAUUUAAUAACACCAUUAUUUAGAACAAAAUAUUACUUAGUAAACUAAUCUUAUGAUUAUCGUCAAGAUCAACAAGUGUUUUACAUCAUGACAUCGAUAUAUGAUCAUAACCAAAAACACAAGAAUGAACGUAACCAGAAGACAUCAACGCAAAAUAAAGUUUCAAAGACAGUUUGGAUUUUGAUGUGGCAACCUAGGAGUUGGAAUAAAAUACGGGAACUCUGGUUGGCGUGACCAUGAUCCCUCUGGUCCAUAAUAUGGAAAUGGAACGCUUAUUGGAGAUGGUGUUGGUCCUCUGAAAGGUGUUGUUCCACUAUGAUAUGGAAAUGGAAAUCCUGGUGGAGAUGACAUUGGUCUUCCAAAAGGUGUUGGUCCCCUGACAGCUUGUGUAGAAGGCGUGGCUCCUAUGAUAUGAAAAUUGAAAUUCUGUGGUUUUUGCACCUUAUGAUCCAUCACUACUGUUCCCUUCAACCCUUUGUUAACAAUACCAUCUCCAUUCUUAACAUUGGAAUUUAACAUAUCGCUAAAAUUCUUCUGUUUCACCUCCACUUUGGGUAGAUAGAUUUGCAGCUUCUGCGGAGCAGGUUGCUUCUUUGCUUUCAAAGCUGCUUCACAAGCAGCCUUGUGUUUCCUCCCAUUAAAGUGGGAAUUCAAGAGAUUCUCACUUGUAGUUGUGAACAAACACAAAGCACAUGUCCACUCUUUCUGCACUUCCUUUAGUGUAGAAGUAGAACUCUGAGGAACCUCUCCACCAACUGUGUCGCUCUCUGCUCUCCCUUUGGUUUCCACUGUGGCUGAUGAUGCAGUUUGACUUGGCCCAAUUUUCGGCAUGAUAAGAAUAUCCUGCCACAUCCAGAUAUUAGCAUAGAGACUAAGUACUUCAUGCAAGCGGACCCAAUAUAAUCGGAAGAAUACACAUUUUUUUAACAUAUACUACGGUCUACGGUUAAUGGUUAUUACUCAUGUUCGUGCAGACAAGAGAGAGGAUAAUUCAAUCUGAAGACCUAUACUUCAGACAAGUGUGGUAUCAUUAAAUGUACUUGAAGGCCUAAAUCUUUCACAAAUGACCUCUUAGUAUGCCACAAGCCUAACAUUUAAUUUGUCCUUGGGAGAUUUCUAUUUUGA